rnacentral:lncRNA from 1 species
GAUGAUGAUUGACCAUGGCUGAAAUAGUGUGUCUUUGAGCAAUCGAGGCACCUGUGGGUAUCAACUUGGAUCCUCCCUCUUGUCUCUAGAAUCCUUUUUGAUCAUGUGAUACUGAUGGCUCUGUCCUUGGACGGUCAUUCUUCUUGAGUGACAACCAGGGCAGCUCCACAGUAUAAACUGGUUGAUCUGGUUAUAGCAGAUGAUGUGGGUAGGUUAUAUGAUUGAGCAAAGGCGAAUCUGAGCCCACUAUGCAAUAAGCUCCAUUGUUUAUAUCUGUCUUGUGUAAAGAUUUCUUCUCUAUACCUUCAUUGCAUAAGUUUUGCUUGACCUUUUUUUGUUCGCCGUUGCUCCUUAAUUUAAUCGGGUUAAGAGUAAGUUGCACUUUGUUAUGUUAAGAAGACUUGCUCCCAACAAAUUAUCGGUUGAAUGGCUUGUUUUAAUCAGUUGUCAUACUAUCACUUCUAUUUUUCUGCAAGUUACCAGUUGCAGCUAUUUGUUCUUACAUGCUACAAAUAAUAAUGCAACUGGAUUGUUUUGGAGAGAAUGCUGGACUUUUCAUGUAAAGAGUGACCGAGGCAGAAUGUCACAUGUUACUGUUUGUAGCCAUAAGCAAUUUUUCAACUGCUUUGAUUAAGUUGCUAGGUUAAUCUGAGCCAUUGAGCGGUCAUUUUCUUUUGUUUUCUUUAGUUUGUUCUGAAGCUUUCCCCAAUUCUGUCUGUGGCCACUACAUUUUUUUGGAUCAUCCACCAGACUAAAUGUAGCUGAACUUCAAAGGAUGUGUGUUUUGUUAGUGUCUUAACUUGUUUCCUUGCUAAGUCUUCUAGGUUAUGUUGUUCUGGUGCUGCCUUCUUUAUACAUAUAUUUUUUGCAUCGCUUUGUCUUGCACUCUUCUUGGCAAGCUUAUAACAAUGAUGACCUUUGUCCAUUUAGACAUAGCAACGCGCGCUCUGCACUUGACAUGUGGAGAAGGCACGCUGUCUCAAAAAAAAGUGGAGAAGGCACGCAUGGUACCGCUCGACAAAACCCUCGCCGUCGCACUCUCUCACAUGCUCACUAAUCAUUAGUUUUAAGUGUGAGACCACUGUGGCCACUUGGAAAAUGGUGGCGAUGAGGAGGCGCGACCACUCAAAAAACAGUGGCGAUGAGGAGGCCCGGCCCUUGUCGGCGACCUGUCCCUCUGAACGGCGGCAACGUUGGAUCUUUGCCUCGCGGGGCCAGCUCACCCUUCUGCUCCGUGCCACGAAGCCGCCGGCACGGCGGCCCUUGCGCUGGGCAGCUGCUGCGGCAUCGUCGGUGUCAAGUGCGACGGUGGGGGUUGUGGGGACCGCGGGGCGGGGGACUGGCAUAAUUUCCUAUUGUGGGUUCUGACGACAUCAAGCUGUAGAUCUGAGCCGCCGCCAUGUCCACUUCAUUUCUUCCAUGUUUCGAUUUGGUAACCCACCCCACUUCCUCCCCCUCGCUCGCUGUGCAAUGUGAGCGCGUCCAUUUAUAAGGAGGUGCUUAUGUGUUCUACAUGUGCGAGUCUCGGCGUUUUGGUGAAGGUGGAGCUGUGCAAGUGUUUGGUUGGUCGCUGGUUCCAGAUCCCACCUCUAUGGGGGCUGCCUCUGUUGGAUGCUGGGAAAUCUUAGGGGGUAGGGACGGACCCAGCCAGUGAUGGCACUGCCACAACCUUUGCAAGUAAUUUGGCGACCACCACUGUCAGUGGCUUAGCUUUGCCAAUAAAUAUUGGAACCUCGUCAGCAUCAUUAUCUUGGUCGCUGUCUCAAUCACCUUGGUACUCUUUGGUUCACAGGAUUCUAGAAAUGUGGGAAUAUGAAGGAAUAUGUGAUAGAAUCAUCCAAAAUUCCUUUGAAUCAAAGAGGCCUCAAACUUGCUGGUGGUGGUGGUGGUGAUGCUGGUGCUGGUGCAAGCUCCUCUCUCUCUACUGCAAAGUUCCUAUGAGCUUCCUUUGAUCAAAGAGGCCCUAAGCUGUCACACUUCUUGUUUGUGUAUGGUGCAUGGCUUUAUGAUUAACCUCAGUGUCUGGUUGCUGAACUGUGCCGUGCUGAAUGGACUUUCCAUUUUGACAAGUCUGCUAGAGUUGCUCUUAGCUGGCGUGGGGCUAUGAUGAUUAAUUAUGGCUGAUAUAAGCAUGCUCUCGAGCAAUCGAGGCACUUGCGGGUAUUAAGUUGGAUCCCCCCUCGUUUCUUUGAGCCAUUUUGAUCAUGUGCUUAUUUUAGUGGCUCUGUCCUUGGAUGGUCAUUUCUGAUGGGUGAUAACCAGGACAGUCUCACCAUUGUAAGAACAGAUUGAUCUGGUGAUGGAGACACUAGUGGAAGGGUCAUAUGAUCGAGCAAAGGUGAACCUGAGCCCAUUCAAUUGCAGUUCUGGUCUCAAGAACAAUGUGCUAUGUUGUUGCCGUUCUGUAUUUAUAUUUAGCUCCUAUUUGGUUGGCAGGAUUUUAAGAACACAUUAAAGGGCAGCCUGGUGCAUGUAGCUCCUGCUUGCGCAGGGUCUGGGGAAGGGUCGCAUCGCUUUGGGUCUAUUGUACGCAGCCUUUCACUACAUUUCUCUAAAAGGCUGUUUCCAGGACUUGAACCCGUGAUCUCAUGGUCACAAGGCAGCAGCUUUAGCACUGCACCAAGUCUCCCCUUCAUUUUAAGAACACAUUGAAGGAAAAAAAAAUGAAGGAUUCCAUUGUUAGGGCAACUCCAACACUUACCCUGAACAGCCGGCUGGGUGGAGGCCAUUCUUGCUAUGGCGAUGAUGAUUGACCGUGCCUGGAAUAAGUGUGCCUUUGAGCAAUCGAGGCACCUAGGUAUGAAGUUGGAUCCCCCCUCUUGUCUCUAGGAUCCAUUUUGAUCUGUGAUAGUGAUGGCUCUGUCCUUGGAUGGUCAUUCUUGGUGAGUGAUAACCAGGGCAGCUCCACAGUAUAAAUGGUUGAUCUGGUGAUAAGAGAUGAUGGGGGUAGGUUAUAUGAUGGAGCAAAGGCGAAUCUGAGCCCACUAUGCAAUAAGCCCGAACCCCUUUUUAUUUGUAUUUAAAGGUGUUGCUUAUUUAUGCUCUAGUGUUUAUAUCUGUCCUGUGUAUAGAUUUCUUCUCUUAUACCUUUAUUGCAUAAGUUGUGCUUAAUCUAGUCUGGUUAAGAGUAAGUUGCACUUUUUUAUAUUAAGAUGACUUGCUCCCAGCAAAUUACCGGUUGAAUGGCUUCUUUUAAUUAGUUACUCCCUCUGUUCAUCAGUACAAGACCUUUUGAUAGUUUAAUUCGAACUGCCAAAACGUCUUAUAUUGAUGAAUAGAGGUAGUAUCAUACUGUUACUUCUGUUUUCCCGCAAGUUACCAGUUGCAGCUAUUUGUUCUCACAUGCUACAAAUAAUAAUGCUACUGGAUUUUUUAGAUUUUUUUUGGAGAGAAUGCUGGACUGUUCAUGUCAAGAGUGACCGAGGUAGCAUGUCAAAUGUUCUGUCUGUAUCCAUAAGCAAUUUUUUGACCGCUGUGAUUAAGUUGCUGGGUUAAUCUGAGCCAUUGAGCGGACAUUCCCUUUUGUUUCUUUAGUUUGUUCAGAAGCUUUCCCCAAUUCUGUCUGUCACCACUGCAUUAUUUGGGUCAUGCACCAGACUAAAUGUUGGUGAACUUCGAAGGAUGUGUUGUUUUUGUUAGCUUCUUAACUUAUUUCCUUGUCAAGUAAGCCUUUGGGGUUAUUCUGUUUUGUUGCUGCCUUCCUUGUACAUAUAGUUUUGGUCUUUUGCAUCGCUUUAUCUUGCACUCUUCCUGGCAAGCUUAUAUCAGUGAUGACCUUCGUCCAUUUAGUCGUAGUAUCUAUUUGAAUAAUGAAAAUUUGCUACCAUUUGGUUAUCACCAGAUGUUUGUCUGUUGACAAAACAUGUUCCAGGAAGGCAUUUUGUCUGCUAUGUUUUUUUUGAAAUAGAAUUCUGAUUCGGGGCAACGAUGAUUGACCAUUGCUGAUAUAAGCAUGCUCUCGAGCAAUCGAGUAAGCUGUGGGUAUUAAGUUCGAUACUUCCUCGUCACUUGGAGCCAUUUCAACCACGACAAGAAUUAUGGAACGGAGGGAGUAUAUUUUUUUUGUGGCUGUCCUUGGAAGGUCAUCUUGAUGAGUGAUAACCAGGGCAGCCCCACACUAUAGUAUAUAUUUUCCUGGCAAGCUUAUAUCAGUGAUGACCUUCGUCCAUUUAGUCAUAGUAUCUAUUUGAAUAAUGAAAAUUUGCUACCAUUUGGUUAUCACCAGAUGUUUGUCUGUUGACAAAACAUGGUCCAGGAAGGCAUUUUGUCUGCUAUGUUUUUUUGAAAUAGAAUUCUGAUUCGGGGCAACGAUGAUUGACCAUUGCUGAUAUAAGCAUGCUCUCGAGCAAUCGAGUAAGCUGUGGAUAUUAAGUUCGACACUUCCUCGUCUCUUGGAGCCAUUUCAACCACGACAAGAAUUAUGGAUCGGAGGGAGUAUAUAUUUUUUUGUGGCUGUCCUUGGAAGGUCAUCUUGAUGAGUGAUAACCAGGGCAGCCCCACACUAUAAACGGGUUGAUCUGGUGAUAAGAGAUGAUGGGGGUAGGUUAUAUGAUCGAGCAAAGGCAAAUCUGAGCCCCCUCAAAUGCAAUUCUAGUGCUCUUUCAGCAUAAUGUGCUACACUGUUUCUCUUUUUUUAUCUGUAUUUGAAGGUGUCGCUUAUUUAUGCAACUGUGUUUAUAGCUGUCCUGUGUACAUAUUUCUUCCCUUAUACCUUUAUUGCGUAAGUUGUUCUUGCCCUUUUUUCCGUUCUUGCAUCUGUCUGCACUAUAGUACAUCAAGUAUCAACAACAACAACAACACACGGAGCCUUUGUUCCCAAACAAGUUGGGGUAGGCUAGAGGUGAAACCCAUAAGAUCUCGCAACCAACUCAUGGCUCUGGCACAUGGAUAGCAAGCUUCCACGCACCCCUGUCCAUAGCUAGCUCUUUGGUGAUACUCCAAUCCUUCAGGUCUCUCUUAACGGACUCCUUCCAUGUCAAGUAUCAGCCAAGAAAAAUUUGUACUUUGAUGCUACAUAUUCAGUUUUCAACUUAAAUGGAUUGCUGUGGCCCCCAGCAUACUAUAUUUUGUGGUUGCACACAUGCACAGCAAAAUACUCCAAAUCUGCUGUGGUCUAAUGAUGCUCUCAGUAGAUAGCAUAUUCUUGGUUGGUUCACCAGUCAUCAGAUAAUUUUGCAUGUAGGCAUUGCUAUUGAUGAUGUUCCACAAGAUUCUGGAUCCUCCUAACUGCGAAGGAUGUUUGUUUUGUUAGCUUCUUAACUUUCUUUUCCUUGCUAAGCAAGCCUUUGGGGUAAUUCUAUUUUGUUGCUGCCUUCUUUUUACAUAUAGUUUUGCAUCGCUUUGCUCUGCACUCUUCCUGGCAUGCUUAUAACAGAGACCUUUGUCCAUUAGACAUAGUAACUAUUUGAAUAAUCAAAAUUCGCUACCAUUUGGUCACCACCAGAAGUUUUUUAGUUGACAAAACAUGGUCCAGGAAGGUAUUUUGUCUGCUAUAUGUUUUUUGAAAUAGAAUUCUGAUUUGGGGCAAUGAUGAUUGACCAAUGCUGAUAUAAGCAUGCUCUUGAGCAAUCGAGUAAGCUGUGCGUAUUCAGCUGGAUCCUCCCUCGUCUCUUGGAGCCGUUUCAACCAUGACAAGAAUUAUGGAACGGAGGGAGUACUAAGAGCAACUGUUAACAGAUUUGCUAUAUUUUUGGUGGCUGUCCUUGGAAGGUCAUCUUGAUGAGUGAUAACCAGGGCAGCUCCACACUAUAAACGGGUUGAUCUGGUGACAAGAAUGAGGUAGGUUAUAUGAUUGAGCAAAGGCAAAUCUGAGCCCCCUCAAAUGCAAUUCUAGUGCUCUUUCAACAUAAUGUGCUACACUGUUUCUCUUUUUUUAUCUGUAUUUGAAGGUGUUGCUUAUUUAUGCAACUGUGUUUAUAGCUGUCCUGUGUACAUAUUUCUUCCCUCGUACCUUUAUUGCGUAAGUUGUUCUUGCCCUUUUUUUCGUUCUUACAUCUCUCUGCACUAUAGUACAUCAAGUAUCAGCCAAGAAAAAUUUGUACUUUGAUGCUACAUAUUCAGUUUUCAACUUAAAUGGAUUGCUGUGGCCCCCAGCAUACUAUAUUUUGUGGUCGCACACAUGCACAGCAAAAUACUCCAAAUCUGAUGUGGUCUAAUGAUGCUCUAUCAUGUAUUUUAAUAAGCAUGCCUUAGAGCAAGCUUCUAUAUCGCCGCCCUUCUCCACGGAAGCAUAUGUUCAAGUCACAAGCGAGUGUUGGUGGUGCUGUAAUUCGUAUGGUCAAUCAGUGCAACAUGCUCCUCAUAUACUUUUUGGAUGCAACUGAGAGUGCAUGUGCACAUUAAAUGCUGUGAAUCAAAGCUUGUGUGCCUGGUCAGUAAUUUUGAUAUGUGAGCCCUCGAUUGGCUAUGUAUAAUGUGUUGUUCUCUCGCCAUGUAUGUGUUGAGUGUUGGUUAACAAAAUGAUAAUGUUCAGUGAAAUUUUUCAAUAUCAAACAAAUUUGUUUUACAGAGUUUUUUUAGUUCUAUUGAAUUUCCCAUGAGAGUUUUGUAUACCGGUACCAUUGUGUCUCUUCAUGAAUGCGGUCCUGCUGGGCAAGCCUGAGAAGCCCUUGUACUAAUAGUUUGUGUAUCUGAGCAGUUUCUUCCUUUCAACUGCGAUGAUGUGUGCAAUUUCAUCUUGAUUGUAAAGUAGAGUUUCCUUUCUACUUGAGGUUAGAUCGAGGUCAGUAGGCAUCAGGAGGAUUACAUAGCCCAGUAUCCUCCCUUGCCACAUAAUUUUGCAAGCUAUUGGUGACCAUGAAUUUUUACGGGUUCUGUAUGCUAAACAAUGCUCUCUGUUUAAUGCAAGAUAUUUUGUUUGUAUUGUAUUGCUAUUGCACAAGAUUUCUGGUCCUAAUUUUGAGGCACUAUUUGGUUUUGCUUGACAGUAAUUUUGGCGCUUUACAUUUCAACUAAAAUGCAGGCAGGGCAUGUUGUUUGGUCAUCUGAUCUUUUUCUUCUCUCCUACGGCUACUUGUUCUUUGUUUGUUUCUGAUCAUUUUGGCUGCUCUCAAGAGAUGCUUACCAUAUUCUCGCUUGGUUCAUCAGUGACCUCAUCCAUUUGGUUUGGUGCCAAAAGAGAAAGGGUCUUCCAACCAAGUUUCAUGUUGAUCUCAUUGGCUCUAGCUUGUAGAUAUCGCUGCCUGUGGAACAUAUUUUAGCGUCUCCUAAGUUGGGUUCUAGAGUGGUUGCACUCUGUUAUACCAAGGUAGACUUGCUGGCUUGUUUUUAAAUGGUUGUCAUACCAGCAUUGUUUUCUCCUCGCAAAUUACCAUUUUGUUCUUUCAUGCGACAUUUUGUUCUUACAGCAAGUAUGUUGCAUGUUGCUGUCUGUAACCAUAAGCAAAUUUUUGACUGCUGUGACUGUGAUUGGGUUGCUGGGUUUAGCUGAGCCACUGAGGUGAUAUUUCUUGGAGAUGCUCUGCUCCUUCACUUGAUGGUCCCAAACAUAUCGUUGCCGUAAGAGCAUCUUUCUUGAAGUCUCGAGUGCCAGUUUGGGUGUUCGACGCCUAUGGUCUGUUCUAAGUGCUGCGGUUUGUCGUGUUUCCCGUGACAGGUUUCUUCAAUGUUAAGCAUCAUUUAGCAUGUUAUUGUUUUCUCAAACCGUCUGUCUUCAUCUCUUGGACUUGGUUUGAAUAAUUAUGCACUUUUGGAUGUACGUGUGCAGGGCUGCAUGCAGGCUGGCUGGCUGGCUGGGAGUGUAGGUUCUCGCACACCAGCGCCUUCUUAAAUCCAACACCACAUGCCACAUGGGCAGGGACGCCGGCGAGCUGCAGAAAUGGGGGCCUCCUCCCAGCUCGCCGCCAUCCCGGCGCUGCUGUUGCUGCUCCUCAUGGCAUCCGCGCCCGCACCGGCAGCAGCAGUGAGCCCCUCCAAGCGCCCCACCCAUCAGCCUCCCUCUUUCCCCGCAGGAAUCUCUACCCUGCGGCAGCGGGCUGCAAGCUCGAGCGGCGGGUACGCCACUGCGGCGAAUCCGUACACGGCGCACUACUUCCCGCAGGAGCUGGACCACUUCACCUUCACGCCCAACUCCUCCCGCGUCUUCUCCCAGAAGUACCUCCUCAACGACACCUUCUGGCGGCGGAAGCCCACCGUCGAGCCGCUGUUCGUGUACAUGGGUGGCGAGGCCGACAUCGAGUGGUUGGCCACCACCACCGGCUUCAUGUUCGACAUCGCGCCAGAGUUCGGGGCUCUCAUCGUCUUCAUCGAGGUACCCUUCUUUGCCACAUCCUCCGCCAUGGCUGAUACUUUCAGGUUUCAGCUAAUCAUCAUAUCAUCGGUGGCCACGCCUUGGUCCAAAUUUUGGUUGUCGUGUUGCACACCAUUUUGUUUCUAAUUAAGCAUAUUAAUAAUAAUACUAUUAAGAGGUAAAGGGCCAACAAAUGCAUCUAUAUAGACUAGAUCGGUUGAGACACAUACGAUUAUUUUCUGUUAGUUGGAUCAAGAACAAAAUUCCCGCAAAAAAAUCAGAGCAAAUUUAUCAACUAAAUAUUUUCCAUCCGUACUCCACAUUGUUUAUAGAUGUAAAUAAUUCUAUAUAAAGAGUAGAAUUCUGAAAUAUAUAUAAAAACACAUUUCAAAAUGUUAAAAAAUUCUGAACAAUAAUUUCGUGUGUACAUCCGGACAUUCUAUCUAUCUUCGCACACAAAAAUUCGCAAAUAUAUAUAAAAAAUUUGUGGCAUGUAUAAAAAGGAAAAAAAAAUGUCUCAUGAAUAGUUGUAAUCAAGCACCGAAAAUUGUAUUUUUUACACAAGCCACAAAAAUUGUCCCUUUUCAUCGAAACUUUGUGCGUGAACAUAUAAUGUCCGGAUGUUCACAUGGGGUUUUUUCUCGAAUUUUUUGAACUUCUUAAAAAUAUGUAUUUAGACAAUGGGUGCAAUACACCUAUGAACCAAAGUGAAUUUCCGCUACAUACGGAUGUAUAUAGACAUAUUUAGAGUGUAGAUUCGCUCAUUUUACUUCGUAUGUUGUUCAUAUUGAAAUCUUUGAAAGGACUUAUAUUUAGGAAUGAAGGGAGUAGGACAUUAACUAGCCCAAUUCAGGCUUUGAUAAGAUAUAAGAUAAUAACAUGCGGAUUAUGUUACAGAAAUCAAACUAAUAUAAUUGGAUUUGUAAUAUAAAUCUCUUUUCUUCACUUAUCAUUUGAUUAUUUUUAUCUUAACUGCAAAUGAAAUAUUGAUUAUAUAGUUUAAAAUUGAAAAAAUGUGUGCCUUGCAUUUGUUACGGAGGGACCAUGCAAUAAGUUAUUUUAGUCACGCUAAAAACAUGGCAUACUUACAUGACAUGGUCGAUGAGAGAGAGAGUGAGAGAAGUCUGAAAUAACAAUUGACGGAGCGAUACAAAGAAAAGUUCAUGUCUACAAGGUAUGCAAGAGUUGGUGGUAGCUAGGAAGAUAAUACAGAUAAUGUUUUCACAAUUAUCGUUAAAUAUGAACACAUUACAUUAGUAGACAUGGAACAAAGGAAAUUAGAGUAAGGCAGCAUGUGUGGAAGCAUGUCGAUGCAUGUCAUAUCCCUAAUUGAACCUAACUGCAAUACCACUAACGACGAGAAAGGGAAGAAAAAAGGCCCAAUGAUAUUAUGUUUCGAUUAUUUCUUAUUUAAAGCUCCUCUUCAAGAUAAAUGUGAGAUGCUAAACACCAGCAAUUGUCCGAUCUACGCGAAUUUCAUUAGCACAAGAUAGUUGGUGGGUACAAUUGGUAGAUCGGGAUGUACGAUACCCUGCCUUAGAGGAUGAACUAGGGUUCCUAGCUACUAUGAAUUUGGGGAAUUUUCGGGUCUCCCGUGCCCUGCCUUGCUACAUAUAGCUGGCCAGCUCAUACAGUAAUUAAACGGUUACAACACAGUGAAGUUUAAAGUGAGAAGUAACUGGCGAGGAUCCAUCCGAGCCGUUGGAUCUCCCUGAACUCCCUCGAGUCAUCUUGACCGUUGCUUGACUGAACUUGUGCGCUGUUGGUGGUCUUCAGAACUGUCUUGGUUUCGGUCCUGACAAUGCCGCCGCCAUAACAACCGCCUUGUCCUCAAGGUGGAAUAACUUGUGGCCUGGGAAUGUCUUGUUUAAAAAUGCCGCAUCUUCCCACGUCGCAUCGUUUGGCGCCAAACUUUCCCAUUGUACCAAGCACUGACCCACAGGUGUUUUGUUCCUUUGUAUGACCCUACGAUCCAACACCGCCACCGGAAUUGUUUUGACAUAUCCUUCUGCUGUUACUAGUGGAACAUGAGGCAGAGGAACCGCUCGAUGACCCACAUGCUUCUUGAGUUGACUGAUGUGGAAAACAGGGUGAAUGUGAGUGCUCUCUGGUAGUUGUAAUUUGUAUGAAACUUCUCCAAUUCUCUCCAGAAUUUUAUACGGUCCAUAGAAUUUUGACCUCAACUUCAGUGAGCCUCUCAGCCCAAAAGCAUUUUGCCUGUAAGGUUGUAUCUUAAGAUACACCAUUUCUCCCACCUCAAAUGUUCUUUCAGUCCCGUUCCUAUCUGCAAAAUACUUAAUCCUGCUUUGUGCCUGUUCCAAGUUGGCUUUCAGCUUGUUCAUCAUGUUUUCCCUUCCCUUUCUGAAACUGUCAAUCUUGCUUCUGGAGAUAAUGUGGUGUCCAUAGCAAAUUCUCCCACUUGAGGUGGCUUGUAGCCAUAGAGAGCUUGAAAUGGAGUACACUUGAGAGAAGAAUGGUAACUGGUGUUAUACCAUAGUUCAGCUAAUGGCAACCACUUUAACCAUUUCUUUGGUUCUUGGAACACUAUCCCUCGCAAAUAAGCCUCUAGACAUUGAUUUACUCGUUCUGUCUGGCCAUCUGUUUGAGGAUGUGAAGCUGUACUGAAUCUGAUCUGCACCCCAAAUGCUGUGAACAAUUCCUGGUAUAAGUUACUGGUGAAGAUAGUGUCUCUGUCCGACACUAUGCAGAUCGGGAGCCCAUGUAACUUGAUAACAUUAUCCAUUAAGGCUUCAAAUACAGUUAUCACUGAGAAAGGAUGUGCCAAGGGAAUGAAAUGGGAGUAUUUGGUUAGCCUGUCCACUACUACCAGAAUGACUUCUUUGCCUUGAGAAUUUGGCAGUGCAGUGAUAAAAUCCAUGGUAAUAUGUGACCAAGCCAUAUCAGGAACAGGAAGUGGUUGCAGCAACCCAGGAGGAUGGAUGUGUUCUACUUUGUUCAAUUGGCACACAGGACACUGGCUAAUGAAUUCUUCUAUGUUCUUCAUGUUGGGCCAGUAAAAUACCUUUUUCAUCCUGUAAUAAGUUGCUUUACUCCCAGAAUGGCCUCCUAAUGCGGAGGAAUGGAAGGUUUGCAGUAACUGUUGCCUGAAUCCUGUGCUGGCUCCUACAUAGAUUCUGUUUUUGUAUUUUAACAGCCCUUUUGUCAAGGAGAACUUGGGAUCUGGACCAAUAUCGGCAGCUACUUUCUGCAGUAAUUUAUUGCUGUCCUGAUCCCCUUGAUAGCUUUGUAUCACAUCCUCCGUCCACUUUGGAACUACAACAGUAACACUGUUGCACUGCAUUGCUUGUAUUGUCUCUUUCCUAGAAAGUGCAUCAGCCACUACAUUUUCUUUUCCCUUUUUAUACUCAAUAGUAUAGUCAUACUCCAACAAUUUCAGCAGCAACUUGUGUUGUACCCCUUCUGUCAACCUCUGAGUUGUCAUAUAUUUCAGUGACUGUUGAUCUGUUUUAAUGACCAAUUUGUUUCCCCACACAUAAUGUCUCCACUUCUUGAUUGCUUCUAGGAUGGCCAUUGCUUCCUUCUCAUAAAUGGACUGAGCUGCAGACUUUGGUCCUAAACUUUUACCGAGAUAAGCCAGUGGCUUCCCUUUUUGCAUAAGAACUGCUCCAAUACCUGUGGCACAUGCAUCAGCUUCAAUAGUGAAAGGCACAGUAAAAUCUGGCAGUGCUAACACAGGGCAGCUUGUCAUUGCUUCCUUUAAUUUUUGAAAAGCUUGUUUCUGUGCUAUGCCCCACUGAAAUGCAUCUUUUCUCAACAUAUCAUGCAAAGGUCUACAGAUUUUCCCAUAAUCUUUAACAAAUCUUCUGUAAUACCCUGUUAGACCCAGGAAUCCUCUUAACUUGGUGGCAUUUUCUGGUUCUGGCCAAUCCAACACAUCUCUGAUUUUCCCUGGAUCCGUGGACACUCCUUGUUCAGAAAUCACAUGACCCAGAUAAUUCACUUGAUUUGUUGCAAAUGUACACUUAGACCUUUUUACAUACAACUUAUGUUUUUGCAGUGUGGCAAAAGUUCUUUCCAAAUGUUCCACAUGUUUUUCUAAGGAUUUACUGAAAACCAGCAUGUCAUCAAAGAAUACCAAUAUACAUUUCUCCUCCUCUGGUUCAUUGAUUUCUUCACAAACAUUGUUCAUCAGCCCUUGGAAAGUACCAGGGCCACUAGACAGACCAAACGGUACCACUGUAUAUUCAUAAUGCCCCAUAUGAGUCUUGAAGGCAGUUUUUGGAAUAUCUUCAGUGGCCAUUCUGAUUUGGUGGUAACCUGACCUCAGAUCUAACUUAGUGAACACCUUAGCCCCAUAGAGCUCAUCCAACAAGUCCUCAAUUAUGGGCAUGGGAAAUUUAUUCUUUAUUGUGAGUGCAUUUAGCUCUCUGUAGUCCACACACAAUCUCCAUCCUCCAUCUUUCUUUCUGAUCAUAAUUGCAGGAGAAGAGAAGGGACUGAAACUCUCUUGUAUUUCUCCCUUUUUAAUUAAUUGCUUGAUAAUUUCUUUCAUGGCCUGCUUUUGGUAAUGAGGCACUCUGUAAGGUCUCAGAUUAGGUGGUUUUGCCCCUUCCUGUAACACAAUUCUGUGAUCACACUCUCUUUUGGGAGGAAGUUCUUGAGACUCUUCAAAAAUCUCAGCAAAUUUAUGGAGGAGUGGUUGUAGAGCUACAGGAGGAGUUUGUUCUGUGUUGUUAUCUGAUUCCAACUCAUGUACUUGGAGGAUGUAUCCCAUAACACCUUUCUUCAGUAACUUUUCCAUUCUGGCUGCUGAAAUUACACACUUUUUCAUUGGUAUUGUAUAAUCAAACAAGGUGACUGGUUGUCCUUGCUUGGUCAGAACCAACAGCCUUUCCACCAGAUCUAAGCAAAUGGGACUGUACUGAUAAAUCCAAUCAGCUCCCAAUAUAAUGUCAUAGGAGACUAGAUCUAACACUUUAAAACUGCUGUGGAAAGUAUGACCUUGCACUUUGAAAUUUCUGUCUGGAAUCUUAGCUACAGAAACUAAUUUUCCACCACCUGCCACUGUUACCUUUCUGGGAGACAUAGGUUGUUGGAAACAAUUACUUUUAAUUGCAAAUUCUGUGCUCAUGAAUGUGUCCGAUGAUCCACUGUCAAACAGAGCUGUUGCUUUCUUUCCAUCCACUUCUACUAUCAAGGCAAAUGUGUUUGCCCCUGUUGUUCCUUCUGUGGCAUGUGCAGAAAUGUGCAUGGCCUGUGUUGUUUUUGGAACAGUCCCUUCCGGUCCUUUUUCUUUGUCUGGAGUAUUUGGUGCUGUAUGAUAUAUCUGUUCAGGCAUAGUUAUUUUUUCUGUACUUUCACUAUCCUCAUCUUCAUCCACUUCUUGUAAAAUAUGCAAGGUUUUCCCAAUUUUGCAUUUGUGCUGUCUUGUCCAUGGUUCUCUACAAUACCAACAUGCUCUGGCAUCUUUAGGAAAGGGACUCACUUGCUUCUCUUGAGCAGGUACUUGUACUUGCAAUGGAGGAGGUGUUUGUUUAUAAGCAGGUUGAUAUGAUCUGUUUUUAUAUCCUGUGGAAUAGGGCAACUUCCUUGCUGCUGCUGCUUUUUCAUAAACCUUUGCAUACCAAUAAGCUUCUAUGAUCCCUGUUGGUUUCUGUCCACAUACUUCAUGCUUUAUAUCUGGUUUCAAUCCUCCAAUGAAACAGCUGAGAAGAAAAUUUUCCUGUAGACAGGGAUGGUCUCUCUUAACUAGAGCUACACAAUUUUCAAACUCAUCAAUGUACUGUGCUACUGAUGUGUGCUGUUGAAUAUUUUUCAGUAACUCCACCGCUUCAUGCACACUUGCUUCUGAAAACCUGUCAGCAAUCAUUUGACAGAAUUGUUGCCAAGUGAUCAUUUGCCAUGGAACGCAUAUGUUCUUCAACCAAUUUGAUGCUCUUCCUUGUAGAUGACCAGUAGCUAGAUUGACCCAUUGGUCAUAGGGUGUGCCAGACAUGUCAAAGAACUUCUCACAGGCAAUCAGCCACCCAAUUGGAUCUUCCCCACUGAAUAAUGGUAUUUUCAAUCUUGGUCCUUUCAGAACAGCUUCAGCAAAAUAAGAAGGGCCUCCCAAUUGUGUUGCAUGUUGGUUUCUUUGAGCCUCAUACAAAUUUCCUGCUGCCUGAUAAACUGGUGGGAGAGAAUUUGCUGUUGUUGUCAUGUUGAUAUACUGCCCAGUGAUUGGAUUGUAUGUUGGCCUUGGGUUAUAAAGUGGUGCAUUUAUCGGAGCAAAAUAUCCACUAUUGCCUAAAAACCCCAAUGUAUGAGCCUGUACUGCCACACUGGUACUUGCCGCUGACACCCUGAAUUGCUGUUGUGCUGGAUUUUCUUGCUGUUUGUCAGUGUGGAUCUUGGUGCUUUCAGUAAACAUACUCACUGGAGGUAACCCUGAGGUUAUUCCUGCCCCAACUGUGACUGGCAUAUGUCCUUGAUUCACGAAGUCUUGAUGCAGAUUUCUGGUUACUGGUGGCUGAUCCAUUUUUGUCUAAAGAGGAACUGAUAAACCUUGUGGACUGUUCGCUCCCCUUUCUGAACAUACCGGAGAAACAUCACUUGGUGUUGCUGGCUCCACCUUCUGACUGCUUACUGACAUGUUUUGCAAUAUCAGGUUGAGAGUCUUCUGAAUUUCCGUGUUCAUCUCUGUCAGUUUUGCUUCAACCCGUGGCAUAGUCACCAUUUCAGAGCGUAAUUGCUGUACUUCUGUUUUCAAUCCUUUCAGAUCCGAUAGCUCCUCUCUGAAUUCCGCUACUUCCUUUUCCAAUCUGUCCAUCGUGAUCUGAACUUUUGCCCGUGUGUCUGCCAUCUUCAGAUCGAGUGGAUGACCGACACCUUGAAUUUGUACUCCUCGAUCUGGGCUUCACUCCUGUGUAGCCGUCGGACGAACUGAACCUUCCAGUAGCACAUGGAUCGUCGUCAGGGACAGGAAUUUUACCACGCGGAGAAGAUCCCCACGCAACCUUCCCGAACUCGUCGAUCUGCGCCCAAAUGCUCGCCGCCGCCGCGGUCGCCUCCACAAACUUCCCCACCGCCUCCGCAAACAGGGAGGGACGGGAGGGAUUUUACAGGAGAACCCAACCCCUCGUCCUCCUCUGCCUGAUCCGCCGCCCAGCGUCGCUGUUGCCGAUGAAUCGACUGGCUUCUGAUACCUUUGUGAGAUGCUAAACACCAGCAAUUGUCCGAUCUACGCGAAUUUCAUUAGCACAAGAUAGUUGGUGGGUACAAUUGGUAGAUCGGGAUGUACGAUACCCUGCCCUAGAGGAUGAACUAGGGUUCCUAGCUACUAUGAAUUUGGGGAAUUUUCGAUUUGGGUCUCCCGUGCCCUACCUUGCUACAUAUAGCUGGCCAGCUCAUACAGUAAUUAAAUGGUUACAGCACAGUAAAGUUUAAAGUGAGAAGUAACUGGCGAGGAUCCAUCCGAGCCGUUGGAUCUCCCUGAACUCCCUCGAGUCAUCUAGACCGUUGCUUGACUGAACUUGUGCGCUGUUGGUGGUCUUCAGAACUGUCUUGGUUUUGAUCCUGACAAUAAAGAAGCAUCAUAAUGUGGUGUUAAUUUUUCGUGUCUAAUUUCUCAAGGCCAAUGAACCAGAUUGAGAAGAAAUAAACAAACAUGCUAUUACCAUUUAACAACGGGCGACAAAUCUACCCACGCAAAUGCAUGGGUCAUUCCGCUAGUUGGUACUUAAGCUUCAUUAAUGGUACUAAAUAUCAUCAAUGUUCACUUGUUCAAAUUGCAACUUGUUUGAAAUUUGUGUGUCGGAGUGCAGCAUCGGUUCUACGGGGAGUCAAAGCCGUUUGGCAAUGACUCGUACAAGUCAGUUGACAUGCUGGGCUACCUGACGUCCACACAGGCGCUCGCCGACUUUGCCAUCCUCAUCACGAGCCUUAAGCAGAACAUGUCCAUUGUUGACGCCCCCGUCGUCGUCUUCGGCGGCUCUUACGGUGGCAGUAAGUCUAUCACUAACGUGUUUCCUUAUAUUAUAUCCGUUCAUGCAUUAGUCUGAAUCUCCUUAAGUUUAUUAUUAUUUUUAGGAGGGCUUGCCGCCUCCCGGCUCGUUUUGGGAAUCACCGGGCUUGGGGUGGGGAGGGGNNNNNNNNNNNNNNNNNNNNNNNNNNNNNNNNNNNNNNNNNNNNNNNNNNNNNNNNNNNNNNNNNNNNNNNNNNNNNNNNNNNNNNNNNNNNNNNNNNNNNNNNNNNNNNNNNNNNNNNNNNNNNNNNNNNNNNNNNNNNNNNNNNNNNNNNNNNNNNNNNNNNNNNNNNNNNNNNNNNNNNNNNNNNNNNNNNNNNNNNNNNNNNNNNNNNNNNNNNNNNNNNNNNNNNNNNNNNNNNNNNNNNNNNNNNNNNNNNNNNNNNNNNNNNNNNNNNNNNNNNNNNNNNNNNNNNNNNNNNNNNNNNNNNNNNNNNNNNNNNNNNNNNNNNNNNNNNNNNNNNNNNNNNNNNNNNNNNNNNNNNNNNNNNNNNNNNNGAGAGAGGGGUAGUCUCACCAAGACAAUGCGACAACAUUACCAACCGGCUCCUUAAACCGCCGAGAUCAAAUGUUCGAAGUCCAAAUCCGCAUGAGGUGAUCUCGAGGUGAUGUCGAGGUGACUCCAAAUCAGCAUGGAGCUCAGAGAGUUGAUGAAGAUGUGGUGGGUGUCUUACAAAUGUGCACUAAGCGGGCUUUUCUUUCGAAGCAACAUUGGCAAGACCAUUUCGUAGAUUCGCAUGCAAUCCAUCUUGCAUGGUCUAUAGAGUACGAUGUUGGUUUUUUCCGGUCGACGGUGGCGGCGGCCGCGGGCGUCGUUUCCUCCAUGAAGGCUCCGUUGUGGUGUUCCCUUUCCUUCAUGGUUCUCUGGGUGAAAACUCGAUCUUCGGGGUCGGGCGGUGGCGACAAUCCGAUGUCAUGCCCUUCGUGAAGGCACCACCUUGGAGUCCAUCCUCUGUCAGUGUCCUGCUUCACUUCUUCUCGGUGGCUAGUUCUCGGGAGGUCCUCGUUGGCUACAAGUGGUUCUUUUUGGCUCAUCUGUAGUGCUUGGUGGUUGAUUGGGUAGUGUGGCGGUGCGUCGACACCCUUGUAUCUUGCCUUGGGUGAGUGUGGUGUGUGUGUUGGUGGCUUGUUGUAUCCGGAUGUGUAUCUCUGGUCGUUGCUUUAUAUAUGAAGUGGGGCAAAAGCCUUUUUCAGUAUUAAGUGGGUGUGGAGGCUGGGAAUGUGGUGGCUAGGGGUUGCUGUAAGCCAAACAGAAGUGGUGAAGUUGUUUCUCAAACAAAAGAGAGUUGUUGCAGUUAUGGUAGCUUUAUUUUUUUGCGAAGAAGGGUCCCUAUAUAUUAUAAAUUUCACCAGUAGUACAAAGCACUCCUGACAUAGUAAAAAUAACAUUGAGGUCCUUGGACCACUACCGCCAGCAGAACAAGCCGUCCACGCGCUCCUUUCGCUCUUCCUCUAUCGGUGUCAGCCUGACCUUGUCGAUGACAGUUGGGAAGUCUUCGUGCAUGUGUCCCUAAGUACCAGCAUCCUGGACAAGGUCGUUGCUGUUGAACCCAUGAAUCGGUCCGAAGUGCUUGACACCAUAUGUGGUUGUAAAGAAUGUGAGGCGAGAAACCUAACCUCGCCACUCCAAGGAGACGGCAAGACAGGAACUCUGUCGAAUCUGCCCUGAUGGCUAGGUUAGAAUGGAAGAAUGGUCAAUAGACGUGACCGAUGGAGCCAGGGUGCUGGGAUUGGUAGUUUUGUGGAGAUCAAGAUGAGCUAAUAUACACUAAUGUUGCCAUGUCGAUAUUACAAAUAAUGAUGUCUUAUGGUCUGUGGCUUUGGCUGUUGGUUCUAGUGUUGGCUUCAUGGUUCAGGUUAAAGUAUCCCCAUGUUGCCAUCGGAGCCCUGGCGUCUUCUGCACCCAUCCUGCACUUCGACGACAUCACCCCGUGGUCAAGCUUCCAUGAUACCGUCUCACGGGACUUCAAGGUAAUUUUCUAUAUCUAAAUAACUAGCUGUCACUAACUAUUUUAGAAAACAUGCAGCUAUGCUAUUGCUACCUCAUUAUCCUAAUAAGUUCUACUUCCUCCGUUCCUAAAUAUAAGUCUUUGUAGAGAUUUCACUAUGGACCACAUACGGAGCAAAAUGAGUGAAUCUAUACUCUAAAAUACAUCUAGAUACAUCCGUAUGUGGUCCAUAGUGAAAUCUCUUCAAAGACUUAUAUUUAGGAACGGGGAGAGUAGAAAUUAAUUGCAUGCAUGUGUCCUUCGCACCAAGUUUUCUUCUCCACAUUUAUGCGGGGUUUUUCUUCUUCUGAAUUCCCUACUUGUAAGUGAGCGCACAUAUGAUGCGAUCAAGAUAUACAAUAUUAUAAUUAAAAUACUCAUAUUGAUACAAUAAAAUCACAUGGAAAUAUAUUGCAACCAAUUCGUGCGGCAAUGCGUGGGGUGUCAUCUAGUAUAAUUAAUUAGCACUCCAUAGUAACAAGAAAAAGAAAUAAGUUGGCCUAAUUAUUGGUCUCGAGAAAGCACGGCAGGUCGACAUGAACGUCUUCUGCAAACUGAUUGAUGGUGUCGGCUCUGGAAAUUAUUAGUACUGCUACUGAUUGCACUUGUCACUUGUUGUCCGGUAGCAUGUCUCUCUUCCUCUCAUCCUCUGGUGUUAUCAAUACUAUCAUAUUGGUUUUCAGUUCUGGAUUAUGAAUUAGUGAAUGGUGAUGGCGGCUAGCCCUUGCACUUUCCAUGGGCAUUCAGCUUAAAUUUAUUUGAUUGAAUGUUACCUUCCAGCCAAUGAUGUAGAUGUCUAGGUGAGGUCUUGAUUAUGAGUUCAUCAUGGCUAUUCAGUUGUUGAUUAGCUUGGUGGCGAUGCUCAACCGCAUCAAGAGACUAUUUUUUUGAACCAUGACUGCACGUGAACUAAAUAAAUAGCACUGAAGGACUAUCAAUAGGCGGUUGGGAGUAAGGUCCUCAUUUGGCCAAAGAUAUGCAGAUUGAUGCAUUUUGUUCAUUACUGAUGAUGAUGACGCAUCUGUUGCUAAUAACAUAGGGAUAGGAUAUAACAUGGAAAUGGAAUGAUAAGUAACUAGCUAGUGACAUCUUUGUCUGACUGGUGCUUGAUUAGUCCUUCUCCCCAGAUCAAGUUUCCAUGGAAACCCAGGUGUUUAGUCAGCUGAUUGUAACAUCCAACUAUUUUGCAGUCCGAGAGCCUGAAUUGCUUCAGUGUCAUCAAGGCAGUCUGGGAUGUGCUAGAUAACAGGGGAUCCAACGAUACAGGGCUCUUGGAGCUCAGCAAAACCUUCAGGGCCUGCAAGUAAGCUUUGCUUAACACAAUUACUCAAUCUUUUCAUGAAGAGAGAAAAUGGUUUUUUUUUUCUUUACUCAUAACUGUAUAGGACACCGGCCGCAUGGAAUAAAACUUAUUGAUAUAGAGAGAAAAACAAGAGAUUAAGACUGCAAGUAUUCUUUUCUAUCUGUAAAGUGUAAGUAAAGUAAACAAAUAGUCAAACCUUGUAGCAAGAAAUACAUGAAAAAAAAUGACUUGCAGCCCCAAACAAGGUACAUUAAGUUCAAUGAUAAAUCGAUGGACAAAUCUAAUCUUGCCAUGUUAACUGGAGUGGUGAACUAAUGAAGGAUUUCAUACUUUGAGCAAAUCGACAAGAAAUGACACUGGUUCAUGGCGUUGCUUUACCCUUUGAAUCUUAGGACCGUGCAGUUCAUUUAUUCGCUGAGCAGCUGGCUACAGACAGCGUUCAUCCACACAGCCACGAUGGACUAUCCAACCCCAGCAAAUUUCUUAAUGAAUCUGCCUGCUUACCCAGUCAAGGAGGUUAGCCACUUGUAACCUAAUUUACAACUAUUAUUCUCGCCUGCAUUACAUCAAAUGAAUGAGAGUAACUUGAGUUUCAGAGUUACCAAACCGAGUCAUGCAAAAAGAGGACCUGUUCUUUUUUCUCCUCUGCUAUGCAUGUAAUUCUCCUGACAUUUCUGCAGAUGUGCAAGAUCAUUGAUUCUUUUCCUGCGGGAGCAGACGUCAUCGACAAGGCUUUCGCUGCGGCGAGCUUGUACUACAAUUACACAGGCGACAAGAAAUGCUUCCAGGUGGAGGGUGGCGAUGACCCUCAUGGCUUCAAAGGAUGGGGCUGGCAGGUACAAGCCUGACUCACAUACAUGUGUAUGUGGUGUACUGAACUACUGAUAACACAUGAAGACUGAGAAGAUCAUAUAUGUGUUUUAUGAAACAAACUGUUGUGCAGGCCUGCACAGAGAUGGUCAUGCCAAUGACGGUGUCGAACGAGAGCAUGUUCCGACCAUCCAGCUUCAGUUACGAGAAGAUGUCCGAGAGCUGCCUUGCGGGCUACAGAGUUCGUCCAAGGAUGCACUGGAUCACUUCUGAAUAUGGUGGCCAUGUAAGUUUUUGUUCAGAUUUUCAGUGUUUGUAUACGACCGUCAGUAGCAGCAUUUGUUUGGGUUACAUGUGCUCACCUGGUACUGCAUUGCACAACCCACUACAGAAAAUUGACAAGGUUCUCAAGAGGUUUGGGAGCAACAUCAUCUUCUCCAACGGGAUGCGAGACCCGUGGAGUGGAGGCGGGUAGGAGUAAAAGAUUUCUCACCGUCUGAUCUAUUCAUGUUGAUAGUUUCAACCAUUUAGGUAGCAAUUUUACCAUAGUAAACAAUAGUAAUAGCUUUCCUUCUGAACUGCUACCAGGGUACUCAAGAACAUAUCAUCCAGCAUCAUUGCUCUUGUCACGGAGAAAGGUAAACUUGAAGUUGUAGAAAAUAUGUAAGGUCAAAAGUAUUGUUAACUUACGAGUGGCUACUUCUUGUGGUGAUGUUCAGGGGCCCAUCAUUUGGACUUGAGAUCUGCAACCAAGGAUGAUCCAGACUGGAUUGUAGAACAAAGGAGACAGGAAACUGAGAUCAUACAUGGAUGGAUAGAUCAGUAUAACAAGGACAUUGCACAGACGUAGCAGCAAGAAGGCGCCAUUGAUUUUCAGUCAUGGAAAAUAAAUAUGGCUUGGUGGCUUUGUUAAUCUAUUAAUCUGAAGUCAGGCAAUCGCCUUUUAUCUAAAUAAAUAAAUAAAUAAAUAUGGUUACAUGCAAAAUGUAAGGAUUUUCCUUUCUUCUACAGGGUGAUAAGCAGUAAAAGAAGAAGAUAAUGCAUUAGUGCAACUUCAAAUUCAACAAGACACCAGAAAUUCUUGAACUUAAGCGGUCAUACGUGAAUCAUGAAUGCAGAGGGUCUAUUUUUCUUCGUAACUGUUGGAGUGAACAUUGAAUUUAGGGACAAACAUGUAUUUGUCCCUGCUGAAAAUUUUAAUGCAUGGUUUUGACAUAUGCGAUGUCUAUGACGUGUGGGGUCUGAGUCCACAUGUUAUACACAUUGGCCAUAUUUCACAAAAAUAAAUAAAUUGACAUGGGCCAUGUUAUUAAUUUGCAGGGGCCUCUCAGGAAAGAAGCGACAUUGCAUUAAAAACAAGUGCACCCAAACUGGUUAUAACUGACAUAACAUAGCAUAACACUGUUUGUUCUUGUAUACACAACACUGUUUAUGAUCCCAGAAAAUAAGACCAAUUUAAAAGCUAAAGCUAUGUUGAUGGAAGCCCCCAAGCCUGCUUCUAAUUAACUCGACCGCUGCAAUUUGCACAAUUUCACAGAUACAAUAUGAAAGCAUCAUCUUGAGUGAAAUCCUGCACCACAGAGGUUUGAUUUAGAUACACCUGACCAGCUCAGCAGAUUCAUAUGCAAAGUCUGAAAGGCCUAGAGAUAGUGUCAAAUCAUCAUAAAGAAGGCACAUAGUUUUUUCACCUGAAUAUGGUCUUGUUAAAAAAAAAGGAUUGAUCCAGAGAGAAGGGAAACCAAAUGGAAAUCCUAAACAGGUCGACCCUAUUUAUGAUAAAAACAUACGAAAAACCACACAAGCAAUGAGGCCUUGUCGACCACACGGCACACGACCAUAGUCUUAGCGAAUGCACACUUUCAGAUCUGGAGCCGCCGCUCCGACUUGUCCCGCUCGCAUGCAAGCCGCAACUUCACGUAACUCGGCAGCCACAUAGUCCUUUGUUACUCGCGCCGAUCCAUAAUAAGUGUUAGUAGUUUUGAACUAAGGUUGCACUAACCUUAAUUCAAAAUUGUGACACUAAUUUUGGAUCGGAGGGAGUAAUAGUUAUCUUCCAACCACACAAUUUUAUUUUGAGACGUCUUAUAAUGAUAUUAGCGGAGCAAUUCAUAUUACGACAAUAAGAUUAAUACAAUAACAAUCGGCCCCGCCGCCGUCAUCUUAGGGCCCGGCGCGGAUACGAUGACGCAGGGGCAAGCGGGAGGUGGUGGCCGGGCCGGCGGCGGCUAGGAUUUUCCCCGAGUCGCCCAGCUCGGGCGAUGCGGGGGACAUGCCUCUACCUCUUCAUGGAGGUUCUUAUAUCCCGGGAAUUCCGUGUAAUGUUGUUGAUUGAUUAAUAAAACUGACAUUUCUCUAAGAAAAACUUAGUGUCGUACGACCAUCUUGUCUCGUCUGCGUUCUUAAACCCCACAGAACGCUUUAUGCAAAGAAAAUGAACCCCACACGACACGAGCACUGACACGAGCAAUCUGCAGUGAGAGCUCUAGCGACGGCAAAAAUGGCGGCCUCCUCCUCGCUCCUCGCCGUCGGCCCGGCGCUCCUCGUCCUCUUCUUCACGGCGCUCGCGCCCGCACCACUGGCAGCAGCAGCGACCUCCUCCAAGCUUCCCAGCCAGCCUCCUCCUUUCCCUGCUGGACUCGCUCCUCUGCAGCAGCACCGGGCGGCAAGCUCGAGCGGCAGGUACACCACCGCCGCCACGGCCCCCGCGAAGCCGUACACGGCGCACUACUUCCCGCAGGAGCUGGACCACUUCACCUUCACGCCCAACUCCUCCCGCGUCUUCUCCCAGAAGUACCUCCUUAACGACACCUUCUGGCGGCGGAAACCCACCGCCGGGCCGCUGUUCGUGUACACCGGCAACGAGGGCGACAUCGAAUGGUUCGCCGCCAACACCGGCUUCAUGUUCGACAGCGCGCCCGACUUCGGCGCCCUCCUCGUCUUCAUCGAGGUACCCUUUUGGCCACAUCCUCUGCCAUGGCUGAUAUCGUCGGUGACCGCACGCGCCCUGGUCCAAAAUUUGGUUGUCCUAUUGAUUCUGUCGAGACAAGACACCAUUUUUGCUGUUGUUUAAGCAUCCAUAAUAGUAAUCACUUGUUUAAAUUUUGUUGUUCUCAUGCUAAUUGGCAUCCAUAGUAAUUACACUCUAUUUUCCCUCUCACAAUGAAAAGAGACGCAAGCUUUAUGUAUUCGUGAAAAAAAAAAGAAAUUACUAAUUAGUACUAACUGCAAUCACUUGUUCAACUAGUAUAAUAGUACUAACUUGUUUGAAAUUUGUGUGCAGCAUCGGUACUACGGGGAGUCGAAGCCGUUCGGAAAUGACUCGUACACGUCGGCCGACAUGCUGGGUUACCUGACGUCCACGCAGGCGCUCGCCGACUUCGCCAUCCUCAUCACCAGCCUCAAGCAGAACCUUUCUGCCGUCGAUGCCCCCGUCGUUGUCUUCGGCGGCUCCUACGGUGGCAGUAAGUCCAUCACCGACGCGUAUCCCCAUAUCGCCAAUUAAAUCCAUGUGUGCGACAAUCUUUUUUGAGAGAAAAUUAGGAUGAGCUAAUCUACAAUAAUAAUGUAGUCAGUGUGGAUGCAUCUUCCAAAAAUAAAGUACAGUAAAUGAUUUUAUGCCUGUUGUUUCUAGUGCUGGCUUCAUGGUUCAGGCUCAAGUAUCCCCAUGUCGCCAUAGGAGCACUGGCAUCCUCUGCUCCGAUCCUGCAGUUCGACGACAUCACCCCAUGGUCUAGCUUCAACGACAUUGUCUCGCAGGACUUCAAGGUAAUAAUAGGAAUUAAUCACUACUACUGCAUAACAUCAUCAUGCUUUAACUUCCUCAAAAGUAGGUCAAAUAAUUCCUGGAUGAAUGGCCCAGUGUCACUGGUCAAAUUAUUAGUGAUGAUAAGGCAUGGCAGAUCAACAUGCUCUCCUCUGGAUACUGAAUUUCACUUGUUGUCACCGUGUUGGCUCUGAAUUACUAUUAGUAGUGAAUUUCACUUGUUGUCGUGUUAUCAGUGGGCUCCCUGACGUGCUGCAGGGUGCAGUUGGGUCACUGACAUGUGGGCCAUCCAGCAGACGGGCCCACAUGUCAGUGACCGAACUGCACACUGCAGUACGUCAGACGAUCCCUGUCCGUUAUCAGUACCCUAGCGGCACAUUAGUGGUUUUCAGUUGUGAAUUAUGAAUAGGUGGUGGCCCUUUUCUUCAUGAGGAUGUAGCUUAACAAAUACGUUUGGUUGGAAUCUUCCAAGAAAAGAACAUGGAAUUUAAGUGCGUGAUUGAAAUGGCUAAUGAUGUGGAUGUCUAGGUGAUCAGGUCUUACCUUAAUGAGUUCACCAUGUCUAAUGGUUCAUUUUUGGAUUAGCCUGAUUGCGACGCUCAACCGCACAGAAGGGCUAUCAAUAGGCGGUUGCAAAUAAGGUCCUCACUUGUCCAAAGAUAUGCAAAUUGAUGAUGCCCUGUGACACAACUAUUACGUACUAAUACGGCAGAGACAAGAUAUAACAAGGAAAGGGAAUGAUGAUUCACUUGCUAGUGACAUCUUUGUCUUAUUCAUGCUUGAUUAGUAGCUGUCCCAAGUCAAGUUUCCAAAAAGAUAAAUGUGUUUAAUCAGCUUAUUCUAAGUUUGUAACAUCCAACUAAUUUUGCAGUCUGAGAGCCUGAAUUGCUUCAGUGUCAUCAAGGCAGUUUGGGAUGUGCUAGAUGAGAGGGGAUCAAACGAGACAGGCCUCUUGGAGCUCAGCAAAACCUUCAGGACCUGCAAGUAAGCUUUGUCCAACUGAUAUUGUUUUGGACAUGCAAAUCUCAUCUUGUCAACGGAGGAUAUGGACAUCAUACUUUGGCGAAUCGACAACGAUGACUCGGGUUGGUGACAUUGCUCUAUCUCAUGUAUUUUAGGACAGUGCAUUCCGUUUCUCGUCUGGGAUUGUGGCUAAGGGCAGCAUUCACCACCACUGCCAUGGUGGACUAUCCAACCCCAGCCAAUUUCAUGAUGAAUCUGCCUGCUUAUCCUGUGAAGGAGGUUAGCCACUUGCAACCUAAUUUACAACCCUUACUCUCGACUGCAUUACUACAUCAAAUGAAUCACGAAUGAGGAGAGAAACAUGGGUUUCAGAGCUACCAAACUGAGUCUGAGGACCUGUUUUUAUUCUUUUCUGCUGAGCAUGUAAUUCUCCUGACUUUCUGCAGAUGUGCAAGAUCAUUGAUACUUUUCCCGCCGGAGCAGACGUCAUCGACAAAGCUUUCACUGCGGCAAGCCUAUACUACAAUUACACAGGCGACCAGAAAUGCUUCGAGGUGGAGGGUGGCGAUGACCCUCAUGGCCUCCAUGGCUGGGGCUGGCAGGUACAAGCCUGACUCACAUACAUGUGAAUGCGGUGUACUGAUAACAAAUGAAGCCUGAGAAGAUCAUAUAUGUGUUUUCUGAAACAAACUCUUUUGCAGGCCUGCACAGAGAUGGUCAUGCCGAUGACGGUGUCGAACGAGAGCAUGUUCCCACCAUCCAGCUUCAGUGACGAGAAGAGGUCGGAGGGCUGCCACCUGUUCUACGGAGUUCGUCCGAGGAUGCACUGGAUCACUACUGAAUAUGGUGGCCAUGUAAGUUUUUGUUUCAGAUUUUCAGUGUUUACAUAUCAGUAGCAGCAUCUCUUUAGAUGCAUGUGCUCACCUGGUACUGCAUUGCACAACCCACUGCAGAAAAUUGACAAGGUUUUAAAGAGGUUUGGCAGCAACAUCAUCUUCUCCAAUGGGAUGCGAGACCCAUGGAGUCGAGGCGGGUAGGAGCAAUAGAUUUCACCAUAUGAAUCAUGCAUGACGAUAAUUUCGACCAUUCAGGUAACAAUUUUACCACAGUAAAAAUACUAAUAGUAUUCCUGUCAAACUGCUAUCAGGGUGCUCAAGAACAUAUCAUCCAGCAUCAUUGCUCUUGUCACAGAGAAAGGUAAACAUGAAGUUGCAGCAAAUAUGCAAGGUCAAAAGGAUUCUGAAACUUACUUAAACAUGACUACUUCUUUUGUGGUGGUGAUGUUCAGGGGCCCAUCAUUUGGACCUGAGAUUUGCAACCAAGGAUGAUCCAGACUGGGUUGUAGAACAAAGGAGACAGGAAGUUGUGAUCAUACAUGGAUGGAUAGAUCAGUAUAACAAGGACAUUGCACAGAUGUAGCAGUAAGAAGGCGCCAUUAAUUUUCAGUCAAGGAAAAUAAAUGUGGCUACAUGGAAAAUGCAAGGACUUUCCUUUCUUCUACAGGGCGAUAAGUACAAAAACUUAAGAUAGUGCAUUAGUGCAACUUCAAAUUCAACAAGACACCAGAAAUUUUUGAACUUAAGCAGUCAUAAACGGAUCAUGAAUGCAGAGGUUCUCUUUUUCUACUUAUGGAACUGUUGCGGUGAACAGUGAAUUUAUCAACCAGAAAAUAAUUAAGACCAGCUUAAAAGCUAAAGCUAUGUCGAUGGAAGCCCCUAACCCUGCUUCUAACUUUUUUCUAGAAUAUGCAUAACAUUUGUAUCAUUGCAUUAAGAAGUGGCAAAGACGCCGGGUACAACACCUUUUGGCCAUUACAAUGCCAAUCUCUAGGACUAGCAACCACAUCCACCACGCACACCACCACACCCACUACGAAACAUGCCACACCUAGUCCAGCCUCAUGCUGAUGACAAUGAGACAAGACAUAGAGCAUCAAGCCGUGUCACAACCAACACCGAAGAUCUCUACAACAAAACCAAGACUCGUGGACAACACGGACCAACGUAUCCCCACCCAUUGCGCCAUGAGAAAGUCGGGGCGCGAACGCACCUAGAAGAGGCGUCGUCGAGAGAGCGUCGACAAUGGUGUACAUUGUGCCCUGGAGUCCCACGCCUAGAGCAGUAGCCGACACUUCCUCAAGCCACACCCCCGCGACUCCUCGAGCAACAAGAUGACACCUCCAAGAAGGGAACAACGUCAAGAUGCCGCCGCCGCCCUGCUUCUAACUGAACUACGACAAUUUGCACAAUUUCAUGGAUACAAUAUGCAAGAUCAACAGUCGGUUAACACACAUGCAGAAACAUCUCUCAAAAUACAUGAAAGCAUCAUCUCGAGAGAAAUCCAGCAUCGAUAAGAAGUUUCAUUUAUACACAUGACCAACUCAGCAGAUUCACAUGCCAAGUCUGAAAAGUGUAGAGAUAGUGUUAAAUGACCAUAAAGACCUGCACCCUCGGCCUUCCUUCCCUCCUCCUGCCCCCUGCCGCUGCCGGCGGGUGACCCCGGCUCCGGCCCGGGUGGUGCCGCCGGCGGCGGGAUCUCCUCUUCCCGCGCGCUCGUCCUCCCUUCCCGGGGCGGGGGGCGGCGGCGGUGUCACUCGGCGAGGCGGAGGUCCGGCGACCCGGCGGGGUGGCCGGCGGCGGAUGUGGUGGCGGCGCUGCUCGUUGGCGGCGGGGCGGCGCGGUGGUGCAGGGUGGCCGACGGCGUGUCCCGCUCAGAUCUGGGCCCUGCGGGCCCCAUCUGGGUCUUAGCGGGUCGGUCCCCGGCGUGGCUUCGUUGUCUUUUGCAUGGUGAGGAAGAGGAGCAGCUCGGACCGGGGGCGGCGACGUCGACGGCGUGCCUGCUGCAGCGCGCAGGCGGGAGCUUUCCAGGCCUACGAGGGCCCGGCUGGGUAUAUGUGUUUUGUAAGUUUUAUAUAUUUUGUCCGGCCUGUUGAACUUGCGCAGUUGCAUUGUUGAUUUAUUUUGGUAAAAUGCACAGCCAUAUCUAGCUGCUGAGAAAACCGAUGGAAGCUACGAUUUUGACAGAACCAUUUUUGGUGUCAAAACAUCUCAGCGUCGUCGAGAUUAAAUGUAGGGCAAAAGAUGAGCGAGCUCACAAAAUUUCAAAGGCCCUUUGUUCGUAUGGAGUAUCUGCUGAUAAAAUCAACAUCAAGGAAAGAAUACGGUCCUCCAGUGGUAAGUCAAAAUUUCAAUCUUCCUAGAAUUUUGGUGUUUUUUGCAUUCCCAUUUCAUGUUGUAUGUGUUAAUUCAAAGCCGGGCUUUUGAGCCUUUUCUCUUAAAAAUGUUGUAUGUGUUAAUUAAUUUCGUAACCGAUAUUUUAAUAUAGUUGAAGAACUAAAUGUGUAAAUGAUACGUAUCAAGGGGAAAUUGUUCUUCUGAAGUCAUGUUAUAAUCUUGUGAUUUUAAAAUUGUCGGUCUUCCCACGGCAAGGCAAAGUUUCAGUCUUCCUAGAUUUUGAAGUUUUUCGGAUUCCCAUACCAUGUACUCCAUCGGUUCUAAAAUACUUGACUUUCAUUUGUCCAAAAAUGAAUGUACCUAUAUACUAAAAUAUGUCUAGAUGCAUCUAUAUUUUGACAAAUGAAAGACAUGUAUUGUGGAACGGAGGGAUAUGUGUUAAAUUUGCCAACGGUAUUCUUUAAAUUAAGUUAGUCGGAACAGUGAAUGUGUAAAUGAUGAGCAUCAAAGGGGAACUUGUUCUUCUGAAGUCAAAUUAUUAGUCUCCUGCAAAAUUUUUUUUCAAAUUAUUAGUCUUGGUGAUUUUUAAAUUUUUGGUCUUCCCACACUAAGUUAAACUUUCUAUCAGCUUCAUGCAUGUUGCUAAACUAAAGUACGGUUCUUCUGGCCCCGCAACAUUUAAAUCAAACAAUAUGCCAGUCCAACUAAUUGCACUUUCUUUUUAUACUUGUACAGGAACAUAUUAUGAGUCUGACACGUCGGUCCAUUCGUAUUCAGACCCGGAGAAAUAUCAGUUUGACUAACAUUUGGAACAUUGUUAUGAAUUUACUUGCUUCACCAGGGGACCUUUUGCGUAUGUUUUAGUUGUUGAGUCAAGGCCUUUGUAGUUAAUUUCACAAAAUUGAAGUAUGGAUGCAAUUGGAAUUUGGUUCAGGGGUUGAACAUAAGCUAUCUUAUCUGCUUUGUACUUUUUGUUUGUGUCAUAUUCCCGUUUCAUUUUCUGGAACUUGCUACAUUGUUUUGCAUUACAUAUCAUGUGUUUUCUUAUUCACUUACCAUAGUCACCACACAAAAACAAAGAUUAGUUACCCGUUCACCCUGUGCCGCUCCCGCGAGAGGCCAGGGCCACCACNNNNNNNNNNNNNNNNNNNNNNNNNNNNNNNNNNNNNNNNNNNNNNNNNNNNNNNNNNNNNNNNNNNNNNNNNNNNNNNNNNNNNNNNNNNNNNNNNNNNNNNNNNNNNNNNNNNNNNNNNNNNNNNNNNNNNNNNNNNNNNNNNNNNNNNNNNNNNNNNNNNNNNNNNNNNNNNNNNNNNNNNNNNNNNNNNNNNNNNNNNNNNNNNNNNNNNNNNNNNNNNNNAGUCGUGCUGUGGUGCUAGCGGCCGCAAGGCCUCGCGUGGCUAGGGCCGUCCUCUAGGAUGGCUCGGUGGUGCUCCGGAUCUGACGGCGCGGGUUGCGGGCUGCGGGCGGCAUGGACGAGCGACCGUGGCCUCCUCGGUUGUGGGCGUUGGUGGUGUGCUGGGAUGGUGGGCGGGCGGCGCGUGAUGGCAUCUUCAGUAAGAUCCCUUCGCUGCUGUUGCGGUUCGAUUUGGUACCCCUCAUCUAUGGGCGCGCUAUUGCUGGUUGCCUCACGGGGAUGUGUGUCGGCUGCCAUGGUGAGGCGACACAAGGAUGUGCUCGAUGGGGAGCUCGGUAGGAGGCACGGGUGGCCUCGAUGUGGCUGCGUCACCUGUCGCUGGGACAGGGGUGUGCCGGUCCGGAUGCAUCCGCUCCUCCUUCUCCCCCUUUUCUCAUGUUUGGCGGGGAGGUAGGUAGGAGGGAUGGGUGGAUGCGGUUGUGUCACCUGUCGCGGACACAAUAGUGUGCUGGUCUAGAUGCGUCUGCUACUCCUUCUCCCCCUUUCUUGUCGCGGGCGGGUCACCGCAGGUUUGCCGAUGAACGUCUGCUGAUGGCUCCGUCGGUCGGGGGUUGUCGGUUGGGCCAAAGCUGGGGCCUUUGCGUGGUCUCGGGGUUGUCUGAUUGUGAUACGUCUCUAAUGUAUCUAUAAUUUUUGAUUGUUCCAUGCUAUUAUAUUAUCAAUCUUGGAUGUUUUAUAUGCAUUAUUUGGUUAUUUUAUAUCAUUUUUUGGAACUAACAUAUUAACCUAGUGCCAAGUGCCAGUUGCUGUUUUUUCUUGUUUUUGUCUUUACAGAAAAUCAAUACCAAACGGAGUCCAAAUGAAAUGAAACUUUUUGAUAAUUUUUCUUGGACCACAAAACACCCUGAAAGCUUCGGGAGGAGGCCAGAUGAGCCAUGAGGCGACGGCAAGCUCAGGGGGCGUGCCCGGGGGGCAAGCUAGUGGGCUCCACGUGGUUCCUCUAACCCUAAUUCUUCUUCUAUAAAUUCUCAAAUAUUCCGCGAAGUCCACAGGGCACACCAAAAAUACGUUUCCACCAUUGCAAGUUUCUGUCUUUGUGAGAUCUCAUAUGGGGACCUUUUUCGGUACUCUGCCGGAGGGGGAUUCGAUCAUGGAGGGCUUCUGCAUCAAUCUUGCUGCCCGUCCAAUGAUGUGUGAGUAGUUUACCACAGACCUACGGGUCUGUGGCACCCCGGCUCGGAGAAAACCGGAACGCCCCGUAUUCCAGCCCAGAGAUCGAGAUGAAGUCUUCUGGAAUACGACACUGCUUAGCAUAGAACAAACCAGCCUUCUAUUAUUACACGAAUAUGAAUACAAGGUCUCUGAUAUUACAAUGAAUAACAUCGGUACGGCGACACUACGCCUGCCACUGUUGCUCUAUGCAAGCAGCAGAACAACACGAUGCAGCGGAAGAACUCUAGCAGCGGAACAAUGACGACGGUGGUGAACUCCACUCCGCAGGGACUCUGGCUGGAACGCUUAUCCUAGCUCGCACGAACGGAAACCACGACAAGCAAGCAAUCAAAUUCGGCAUGACCUGCAAGCUGGCAUGACACGCCAGGUCAGUGCAUUGAAUGUACUUGCAAGCUCAAAAUAACCAGAAGCAUUCAGGACAGACAACAUCAUGGCAAUUACAGGUUAAAGAGGAGUUAUCAUGAGAUCAUCAGAAUAACAUGGCAUGACCAACAUAAACAUGGUACAACUAACACAACAUGAACAUAUCAAUCCGACAAUACUAGCAUGCAACAUGAUGCCACUAUAUGCACCACUUAUCCUGCUCGAUUUACCUCGUAACCAACACAUGCAUCACUUACCAACCUCGGACAUCACACGAUCAUCUCAGGAUCAAAUCAAGCUUGGUAUAAACAAUACCAUAGUAAUCACUAAAUGACCACAAGGAGCUCGAUUUUUACCCACGAUUCUCGCACAACAUCACGAAUAUACAAUGACUCGGUAUCCUCGAUACCACCGUGAUCCUUACGGCGAUCACAACCACGACCAACACUUGGUCCCAAACCGUGAUCCUUACGGUGAUCACAACCCGACCAAUAAAUGGCCCGUGAUCCUUACGGCGAUCACAACCCGACCAAUAAAUGGAUCGUGAUCCUUACGGCGAUCACAACCCGACCAAUAAAUGGCCCGUGAUCCUUACGGCGAUCACAACCACGGGUUGUCAUUAAUCAAGUUAUUCUUAUUGCUGUUGACUCAUGGUGUGACCUACUUUCGACCUGGGCGUCGGUGUCAAAACCGGCGAAUCUCGGGUAGGGGGUCCCGAUCUGUCCGUCUUAGGCUGAUGGUAACAGGAAGCAAGGGAAACAAUGUUUACCCAAGUUCGGGCCCUCUCGAUGGAGGUAAAACCCUACUUCCUGCUUGAUUAAUAUUGAAGAUAUGUGUAGUACAAGAGUAGAUCUACCACGAGAUCGUAGAGGCUAAACCCAAAGAGCUAGCCUAUGAUGCUAUGAUUGUAAUUGUGAUCACCCUUCUAAGGACCAUGCUCUCCGGUUUAUAUAGACACCGGAGAGCUAGGGUUUACAUGGAGUCGGUUACAAGGAAGGAAAUAUAAAAUCCGGAUCGCCAAGCUUGUCUUCCACGCAAAGGAGAGUCCCAUCCAGACACGAGCCGAAGUCUUGAGUCUUGUAUCUUGACGCUUCUAUAGUCCGGACGAUGUGCAUAGUCCGGCUGUCCGGAUACCCCCUUAUCCAGGACUCCCUCAGUAGCCCCUGAACCAGGCUUCAAUAACGAUGAGUCCGGCGCGCAGUCUUGUUUUUGGCAUUGCAAGGCGGGUUCCCUCUCCGAAUACUCCGAUGUACCCAUCAUGAUGAACAGUGUACGACAUCUCAUCAAUGUUGUACUCCUCGGCUUCAGUGCUUCAAUAAUGACCAUUUCCACGUGUCGAGCGAAUGCGAGGAGUCGAGGCAUUUUUGCAUUUGCCACCCUCGGUCCUUCGGGCUAGCCAUCUAUUUGAAGAGACGGGGAUUCCCAGAUCCAAACCUCACUCUCCCUCCUCGAGCAAGCAUCCAACAGAGCGCCCAGAAAAAACCAUUCCAACAUGGCUGGUCGUCGCAGCUCUUCUGCUCGCUCCCCUUGCCCCAAGCCGGGAGACUGGGGAGAGUGUUCAGUUUCCCAUAGCCGUUUGGUAAAGUUACAAACCCAAGGGCUCCUCCCGCCGCCGUUCAUGGUCCCUGCCGAGCCGGAGUGGCCACCUAUAACGGCGGAGAACAAGCGGAGAGAUCCCCCAAUCCGUCUCCAAAGGAGCGAAUAUGCUUAAUUCCACAUCUGUUAAGGGGCGUCGGGUUUCCUAUUCAUCCAUUCCUUCGUGGUCUUCUGGAGUUCUAUAGCCUCCAGUUGCACAACCUUACCCCAGCCUCCAUACUACAUAUAGCAGGGUAUGUCGCCCUUUGUGAGCUACUCCCUCCGUUCCUUGAUAUAAGGUGUAUAGAUUUUUGAGAAAAAAUCCGAAAUAUAAGGUGUAUUGCAUUGCACCACUCGUUUGGAUAUUUUUCUUAGGGAUUUGAUGACAUUUCCUUAUAUUAGUCAAGCCCCUCUAUUUUCACAUGUCAAUUAUUCAGGUGUAAUCUCACCCAAAACUUGUGAAAUUUUUCCUCCACGUGUGUUCUUUAAUUUCCGUGCCAAAAACUAUACACCCUAUAUUGAGGAACGGAGGGAGUAUUUCUAGGCUGCGAGGCCCAUUUCGGAUUGUGGAAGAAGCUGUUCUGCCUUGUCCCCCGCAACCGGGGAGAAUCCCUAUGUGAAGUGGGCAGGGCCUAAGUAUGGCGUAUCGCUGAGACCGGAUACCUAUCCGGUACUCCCAAGAAAGCACCAGAUAACUGGGCUUCAGAGUGGUUUUAUAUUGACGAUGCUCCCCAAGUUCAGUAACACCCCACCGAGGGCACAUCUAAGCUGGCGCCCCCGAGGCCCCCAAGAGGAGGAUUCCAGGGAAGUACAUUUCCUGAUGAGCAGGAUAAAGUUACUAGCCAAAUCUGGACUGACGAUAGUCGAGGUGAUGGCAAUAUGCAUAAUGCGGGGAGUGCAACCGCUUCAAUAUCGGAGCAAUCCCAUGUGGCACUACAAUGGGACAGACGAUGCCACCCGCUGUGGCCGUAAGGGUCCGGACUCCCCCACUGCUCUGGCAAGGAUACUGUCUGACUUGUACGAAGGAGAAGAGGAAGACUUCCUCCAUAUCAAACUGUGGGACGGAUUCUCCAUGUACAAUCCCCCAAACCGGGUAAGUCGUCAUUUAUUUUCUCGCUUCACUUAUUGUGGCGUUCUUUGCUAAAGUUACCCGCAUCGACAUUUCCGAGCAGGAACUGAGGAGGGCCGUAGAAGGAAUCUCCAGCCCUUCCCCGCAGCCAGAGGACCCCGAAAGGGCCCUGGAUCCAGGACUCGAAGAAGACCCAGAUGCAGCCGUGGAGCUUGUCGACGGGAUAUUUUAUCGGGCGAGCCAUGACGGCGCCUCGGUGGCCAUUACUUCUGAUUAUCGCAGACUGCUACCCUCGUCGCGCGUAAGCCAAGCCAAAGACCCGAUCCUCCGAAGAGGACUCUUCCCUGAUGUCACACCUUAUCCCUGAAGUGUCGUGUUUUUGCAGAAGCGACAUUCGGAACGCAGGGCUGAGCCCCUAGGGACCCAUCAGCCACAGACGUCCGGAUUGGGCAGGCUCAAGAGGAAGGCGGUUAGGACCGACACGCCCUUACAGAGGUAAGGAAACCACCUGUCAUGUAAUUUGUUGUUAUUUGAAGUAUAACAGUGCCCUUUUACAUCCUGGCAGGAAGAGGAGUAUCCGGACUGUAUCCGGAGAUCCUGCCAACCACGCCUCCACCAGUCGUGCUCCUAGACCAACUUCGAGAGAGGAGGCGGACAUAGGGCUGACGUCGCAUAGUCCUCCGACAGAGGACGCAGAUAUGCUCUCUGCCACAAAUUCGGAAGUAGAGAGCGCCAUGCAUCACCGGCGUCGACGGGCCGUGCUUCGCAACAACAUCUUUUCCGAAGAGGCAUUUAAUACUUUCAAUUCGGGAGACGCAUAUAUCCGAGCUGCUCAAAGCGGACUCGCCCGGGCGACAGUCCAGUAUACCAAAGAUAUACGGGUAAGAAAGUUUGAUGAGCAUGCAUAGUAGUAGCCCCUGAGACUUGAAACGGUUGAAACAACAGUUUUAAGUAUCAAUUUAUGCGCAGGUUCUUGUAGAUAAGAAUGAACAAUUAUCUCGGGAGCUAGAGGAGUUCAAGACCCAACUGAGGGCCACCGUUGCUAAGCUAGAGGAAUCCCAGAAGGCCUCAUAUGGUAACAUUUAUCUCAAUUAUAUGAGAAUGCACCAGUUGGCAACUGGCUGGUAUGACAAAUUUAACAGAAAGUUCUGUAGACAACCCCGGAGUAAAUCUGGAGGGCGGGAGGGAUGACGAGUCGCAUCUCCAGAGGCAAAUAAAGGCCGGUGAGCGCAUUCUUACGCAAGUUAAGCAGGAGAAGAAUGCUCUCCAAGAUGCCAAUGUUCGGCUGGAUGUAGAAUUGAAAGACGUCCGUGCGCAGCUAGCGGACUUCGUAAAGGAGAACAAAAGGCUUCGCCGUGGCAUUUAUGGUAAGUGCCUAGAUGAACUGUAGCAUAGUUCGGUGAGGAAGUAUAUUGAAAAAGUUUUGUUUAUAGGAAUGCUAACGGGCCACCCUGAGGAGAAGAUGCCCGCAUCUGCAGGUGACUUACUGCAGGACCUCUCAGAACAGCACGAGCGAGCUCGGCAGGUGAUGCAGGGCAUUGCGCAGUCUCUAUGGCCACCAAGCUCCCCGCCAAAUGGCAUGGGGGGGCUUGUGGACAUGCUUCAAGGAGCACGGCGGCGCUUCCGUUUGUGGAAGAUAUCAGACUGCCGGCAAGGUGCAAGAGAAGCAUGGGCUAUGGUGAAGACGCGCUACAGCAAGCUGGACCCAAACCAUAUGGCCGAAGUUGGACCGGCCGGGCCAGAUGGGCAAGAAAUUCCCGUGAGUCUGGUAUAUGACCAGGUGGCAUUAGCCGCAAAGUAUUCUCAGCAGGAUUGUAAGCUAGAUGGCCUGUUGGAUGGUAUAGAGGAUGAAUAUAAUCAGUCCAAAUGACUGUGUAAUUUGAUGGACAUAAGUAGCCCCUAGCCGGAUUAAAAUCAUUUGUCAUGGCGGACCUUUUCGCUUCAGCCCCCAGAUCCUAAAGUCCAGGGUGUGUCCGAAUACCCGCUCGGUUAUACAAAACCGGAGUAUGCGUGGAAACCAGGCGUAGGAGUCAUAAGUGCUUGAACAGACAGGUGCCCAACUAGUUAUGUUAUAUUACAUGGAUAGUAAGAAAUCUUCCAGGGAGAAUAGUUCCGUUAAGGGUUCCUUUCCCUGGGUAAGCAUGUGUCAAGGCACAUGUCCGGACUACGAACCAAAGCACAUGAUACAAAAUUUCUGGGGAUUAAUGUUAUAAUAAACAAAGACAUCUUUUGUUCACCGAUCGAAUAUUCUCUUAAGGAAACUAGCUUUCGGCUUCACCCAGUCUGAGGUACACAUCCGGCUCAACCGGCAGUAACAAUCGCAGAGGUGCUCCCCUUUUGCCCUAGCCGAAUUAACAAGAACGUAGGGCAUAAACACAGGAGCCAGGCAACCCAGCUUGGCCACGUCUUAAGUCAUAUCGAUGCAUAUAAUGGUGAAUAAAAGGCACACAUGGAAAAUACAUGUAUGAUGGGUAAAAAGCCCUUUAGAGUAAGUUAUGUUUAGCUUCCGUAUAGGAAGCCCCCAGGUAUUGCUUGCACACAAAGUGCGGCCGGAAUAAUCCGGGAACCCGCACUGUACUAAAUACUUCGUGUGAAGAGAAAAAGAUCGAGAAAGGAAAAAAGGGGGGGAAGCAUAAUUGAAAAAGGAGGGUCAAGGAGACGAACACUGAGUUUGGCGCUAGGCGUAGAAUCUCCGGAGUCUGGCCGUGUUCCAUGGGUUCGGCUCUAGUGAGAACUUUGUCGAUGAUGAAGGGGCCUUCCCACUUGGGUUUGAGCUUGUCCUUCUUCUUCUCCGGUAAGUGUAGAACGAGUUCGCCAAUAUUAUAAGUUUUGGCCCGCACUUCUCUGCUUUCGUAUCGUCGAGCCUGUUGCUGAUAGAAUGCGGAACGGGCCUUAGCGACAUCACGCUCCACCUCCAGGGCGUCCAAAUUAUCCUGCCGAUCUAACUCGGCUUCCUUCUCUUCGUACAUGCGUACGCAUGGCGAAUCAUGUAUUAUGUCGCAAGGUAGUACUGCUUCCGCACUGUACACCAUAAAAAAUGGUGUAUAUCCGGUGGUGCGAUUCGGCGUGGUCCGCAGCACCUAGAGUAUGGAGUCGAGCUCCUCGACCCAAUGAGUAUCCGACUCUGUAAAGGAUCGCACUAGUCUGGGUUUGAUGCCGCUCAUGAUGAGACCAUUUGCUCGUUCGACCUGACCAUUUGUUUGAGGAUGGUAGACGGAAGCAUAGUCGAGCUUAAUGCCCAUUUUGCCGCACCAAGCUUUCACUUCAUCAACUGUAAAAUUUGAGCCAUUAUCGGUGAUGAUGCUGUGGGGGACAUCGUGUCGGUGUACGUCCCCGGAUAUAAAGUCUAUUACUGGUCCGGAUUCGGCCGUUUUCACUGGUUUGGCUUCUAUCCAUUUGGUGAACUUGUCUACCAUGACCAAUAAAUAUUUUUUCUUGUGGCUUCCCCCUUUAAGGGGUCCAACCAUAUCCAGCCCCCAGACCGCGAAGGGCCAAGUUAUGGGGAUUGUUUGGAGAGCGGUAGGGGGCAUAUGACUCUGAUUGGCAAAGAGCUGGCAACCGACGCAGUGUUGGACAAGGUCCUGUGCGUCUGCUCAGGCUGUCGGCCAAUAGAAACCUGUACGGAAGGCCUUGCUGACUAAUGUUCGAGACGCAGCGUGGUGCCCGCCCAAUCCGGCAUGGAUUUCAGCCAAGAGCUGCCGCCCUUCCUCUUCGGAGAUGCACCUUUGGAGCACUCCGGUGGCACUUUUCUUAUAGAGUUCCCCUUCAUGGACCUUGUAAGCUUUAGAACACCGAACGAUGCAGCGUGCUUCAUUUUGGUCUUUGGGGAGCUCCUGACUAUUUAGGUAGGCCAAGAAAGGCUCAGUCCACGGGACAAUAACAGCCAUUAGUUCGUGGGCUGACGAUGUUAUUUCGGUGGUGGAGCCUCCGAUUAUGUCUGAUAGUUCGGAAUCUGGGGAUGUAUUUGGAUCCGUGCUGGUAUUGCCGGACUCCCCUUCCCAUACCACGGAUGGCUUGAACAACCUUUCCAUGAAAAUGUUAGGUGGGACAUGGUCGCGUUUAGCGCUGAUGCGGGCAAGGACAUCUGCCGCUUGAUUGUUUCCCGAGCCACAUGGUGGAAUUCGAGCCCCUCGAACCGAGCUAACAUUUUAAGGAUGACAUUACGGUAGGCCACCAUUUUCGGAUCCUUGGCAUCAAAGUCUCCGUUUAUUUGUGAUAUUGCGAGGUUUGAAUCCCCGCGCACUUCUAGGCGUUGAAUGCCCAUAGAGACUGCCAUCCGAAGACCGUGCAAUAGAGCCUCAUAUUCGGUUGCAUUGUUGGAGUCUGUGUAUAAUAUUUGGAGGACGUAUUGGACCAUGUCUCCGGUGGGAGACGUCAGGACUACGCCCGCUCCCAGUCCGUCCAGCAUUUUAGAGCCGUCGAAGUGCAUGAUCCAGUUAGAGUAUGCGCCGUACUCUUUAGGGAGUUCGGCCUCCGUCCAUUCGGCGACAAAGUCAGCUAAUACUUGCGACUUGAUAGCCCGCCGAGGCUUGUAUAUUAUGUCGAACGGAAGGAGCUCAAUGGCCCAUUUGGCGAUCCAGCCCGUGGCAUCACGGUUAUUUAUUAUAUCAUAUAGUGGUACUUCGGAGGCCACCGUAAUCGAACACUCCUGAAAGUAGUGUCGUAGCUUUCGAGAUGCCAUGAAGACCGCGUAUGCUAUUUUUUGGUAGUGUGGGUAUCGGUAUUUGCAUGGGGUGAGGACCAUGGAUACGUAAUAAACCGGCUUUUGUAGCGGGAAUUUGUAUCCGUCAACCUCUCGUUCGAUGACGAGUACUACGCUUACAACUUGAUGUGUUGCAGCUAUGUACAAUAGCAUAGGUUCGCCUAUAUUUGGUGUUGUUAGGACUGGAUUAUUGGCCAAUAAGGUCUUUAUUUCAUCGAGUCCGGCCGUGGCUGCAUCCGUCCACACGAAGUGUUCGGUGCGCCGAAGAAGGCGGUAAAGAGGCAAUGCCUUUUCUCCUAACCUGGAGAUAAAGCGGCUCAAAGCAGCCAUGCAUCUAGCUAGUUUCUGGAUGUGUUUGAGUUCUGUUGGUAUAGCCAACUACGACAAAGCUCGGAUUUUUGCCGUAGCUUCAAUUCCUCUAUUGGAAACAAUGAAGCCCAGCAGUUUUCCGGAGGGGACGCCAAAAAUGCACUUCUCCGGAUUCAGCUUGAUGUCGUAUGUUCGUAAGUUGUCGAACGUAAGCCUCAAGUCAUCUAUUAGGGUUUCGACGUGUCUUGUUUUUAUGACUACGUCGUCCACGUAUGCCUCCACUGUUUUGCCGAUUUGCUUUUCCAGGCAUGUUUGAAUCAUGUGUUGAUAGGUUGCUCCGGCAUUCUUAAGCCCAAAAGGCAUAGUGUUGAAGCAGAAAGGGCCAUAUGGCGUUAUGAAAGCUGUUGCAGCUUGGUCAAACUCUGCCAUCUUUAUUUGAUGGUAUCCAGAGUAUGCGUCGAGGAAACACAGCGAGUCGUGUCCAGCUGUGGCAUCGAUGAUUUGAUUGAUGCGAGGGAGGGGAAAGGGAUCCUUGGGGCAAGCCUUGUUAAGGUCUUUGAAGUCGACGCACAGGCGCCAGGAUUUGUCCUUCUUUGGUACCAUUACCAAGUUCGCCAGCCAAUCCGGAUGUUUGAUAUCUCUGAUGAAUUUGGCCUCAAGUAGCUUGGCUAGCUCCUCCCCCAUGGCUUGCCAUUUGGGCUCCGAAAAUCGCCUUAGGGUCUGUUUAACAGGUUUGUAUCCCUUCAGUAUGUUAAGGCUGUGUUCGGCCAAUUCGCGUGGGAUGCCCGGCAUGUCCGAUGGGUGCCAGGUGAAGAUAUCCCAAUUCUCGCGUAAGAAGUCACUCAGUGCGGCGUCCAUAGCGGGGUUCAAUUGUCUCCCGAUGGAAGCUGUCUUUGUGGGGUCCGUUGGGUGGACUUGGACUUUUACUAUCUCAUCUGCGGGUUUAAAUGAGGUGGACUUGGGUCGCUUGUCGAGUAUCACGUCGUCCCUGUCCACGGUGGCGUGCAGCAUUGUUAAUUCUUCUGCCGCUAGGGCUUCGGAUAGUGCUUCCAAGGCUAGUGCUGUGGUUUUGUUUUCGGCGCGGAGUGCGACGUCCUGAUCACUAGCUAGAGUGAUGAUUCCAUUGGGUCCGGGCAUUUUGAGCUUCAUAUACCCGUAAUGGGGUAUGGCUUGAAAGCUUGCAAAUGCGUCCCGCCCUAGAAGGGCGUGGUAUCCGCUGUUGAAAGGAGCCACUUGGAAGGUGAUUUCUUCAGACCUGUAAUUCUCUAGGGUGCCGAAUACCACAUCGAGUGUGAUUUUUCCCGCACACCAUGCCCCCCGACUAGGGAUAAUUCCCCUGAAGGUUGUGCCGCUUUGUUCAAUGCGGCUUUUAUAAUUUCCAUCUUCUUGAGUGUUUCUUCGUAGAUUAGGUUUAAUCCGCUUCCGCCGUCCAUGAGUACUUUAGCGAGCCGAAAGCCAUCCACUAUUGGGCUGAGGACCAGAGUGGCCGGCGCCCGGACGGACUGGAAUUGGGGUUCGCCACUGGCAUUGAAAGUUAUAGCAGUGUCGUUCCAUGGAUUUAUUUUUGCCACAUGGCAGAUUUCAGUGGAGCUUCGAUGAGCUCGCUUGCGCCUAUUGUUCGAGGCGAAGGUCUCAAAGACUGUUCGUACUGUAUUGUGUUCCUUGGCGGGAUGUGGUUCUGCUUUAUGGCUCUCGAGGAGAUCCUCACCACUCUUAGCUACCUGCCGGAGUAUCCAACAUGCUCUAAGGCUAUGGGUCGGCGUUGUGUCUGGCGUGUUGUGAAGCUUACAUGGCCCGUUGAGCCAUUCUUCGAAUACGGUUCCACGCCCUGGGGCGGGUUUUGGUUUCUUGGGAAUUGAGUUGGUCGACUUACGAGAGUUCGGCCGUUUAGUUCGGACAAAGGUUCUGGUGAGGGCCGUACUAUCCCAAAACUCUGUUAGGGUCUUCCAGGCACUUUCCAUCGCACAGUACUUCUGUACUAUGGUUUCCAAGUCCGUAAAGUGCACUAUGUCACGGCGACUUAUAGCAUUAAGGAGUCCUUUGUUUGUGCAGUUUUUGCAGAAAAGAGAGACUACAUCCUCCUUGUGGCAGUCCUUGACCUUGUUAAGAGCAAGGAGAAAUCUGGCCCAGUAACGGUGUACCGUCUUCUAGGGCUCCUGCCUGAUACGGGAGAGACGGUUUAAGUCCGAGUGAGCGUCGUUGGCUGAAUCCAGAUUCUGAUCCGAUCUGACGCCCGGGGGCACGGGAAGUUCCAAGCCUGACAGUUCGGGAUCUGGAGUAUUACCUAAUCCCUUCGGCCCAAUUCCCGAUUCUAAGUCCGGGACCUGGGUCAUGUCUUCCUUUGGGUGGGUGUUCGGCUCACUGAGUUCGAUGAUCCGGACAUAAUUCGUCCUCAAAGUUGAGGGGCAACCCACGUGUGGUUCCUCCACUACCUCUAUCUCAUGGGUGGCCGGCGGGGAUCUAAUGUCCCUUUGGUCAGGUUUAAGCCCAAUCCGGUCAUAGUUCGUAGCGACUCCCAAAGCGGCGAUGCGAUCCAAGAGCUCAUUAAGGGAGGAGAACUCAAUUGGAUCCAUCUUUUCAAGAAAACUCGGAAUUGAUGCGAAGGUUAUGCAUGAUGACCCAAGAGGCCAUCGUCGGCGCGACAGCCAAUGGGGCGGUCAUAAUGAAGCCGCCAAGCCGGAGAGUCUGGCCUAUAGCCAGUGCUCCCCCAGAGGUGAUGUCGUCCUUGACAACGAGAUGAGCCAUCGAGCCUUGGCAGCGACGACACAGAGGAACUCUGAAUGAAAGCACCAAUGUCGGUGUCAAAACCGGUGGAUCUCGGGUAGGGGGUCCCGAUCUGUGCGUCUUAGGCUAGUGGUAACAUGAAGCAAGGGACACAAUGUUUACCCAGGUUCGGGCCCUCUUGAUGGAGGUAAAACCCUAACUCCUGCUUGAUUAAUAUUGAAGAUAUGUGUAGUAGAAGAGUAGAUCAACCACGAGAUCGUAGAGGAUAAACCCUAAGAGCUAGCCUAUGAUGGUAUGAUUGUAAUUUUGAUCGCCCUUCUAAGGACCAUGCUCUCCAGUUUAUAUAGACACCGGAGAGCUAGGGUUUACAUGGAGUCGGUUACAAGGAAGGAAAUAUAAAAUCCGGAUGGCCAAGCUUGUCUUCCACGCAAAGGAGAGUCCCAUCCGGACACAAGCCGAAGUCUUGAGUCUUGUAUCUUGACGCUUCUAUAGUCCGGAUGAUGUGCAUAGUCCGGCUGUCCGGAUACCCCCUUAUCCAGGACUCCCUCACAGGGCCCUUAUCCGCGGGCGCGGCUAUUGAUAGAUUUAAUAUACACUCUGCAGAGGUUAGUACACUGUACCCACACUAUGGAACCCAUGGCUCGCACUCCCAUUCAGGUGGACCAAUGGCGUUCCGACAAAACCGAUCUACUGCCAUGACACUCUCCCGGCCACUCCGACUCACUCCCCUCUGGGCUAAGUCAUGGGUGGCCCCGUGCCUACCUCAAGACACCUCAAACCACUGUCGUGGCAACGAUCCACUCUGGGACCCAAGAACUUAACUCAACAACGGGCACACAAGGCUUAUAUGCGCCUACCUGAUCAGGGUAGCGCGCACCCAUAACCUUCCCUCGUUGGAGGCACCGACGAGAGUCACAACAAUAGACCCAGUUAGGACCGUCCCAUACCGGUAAGCGCGGUUGCACUGGUCAGUAUCGUUUCAGCGGCACCAUGACUCAGCCAACAGUUGUUCAAGUUCAAUUUAAUCCGGGUAACUUGAAUGCAAAUAAGCUGAGCCAUGAUAAAAUGCACGAACAUGAUAUCAACAUAAUCAUGAGGGUAUCACAUAACUAUCCACCAUAUCAACAAUAAAUCAUAUCCACUGAGCAUGGCAUACUGACAAGUAUGAAGAUCACCAACAUCAACAUGUACUACUAGCAAGCAUAAACAUAUGGAAGGAAUUACUGGCAGGUAGAACAUGAUAACAGAGUACAAGACAACAUAGCACAAAAGUGAACAUGCAAAUCUAAACAUCACCGGAACAACGAUAACCAUCUUUUCAACAAGCAAACUUUUAAUAAAGAUUCAAGUUGAAAACCAUGGCUACUGCAUGACUAUAAUGCAAGUGGGUAUUGUGGCUUGCCUAGGGUGUAAGAAGUCACCAAGGAGAAGUGCGGUGAAGCCGCAGAAAGAUUUGCCGGAAACAGUUCUCUCUCAGAGGGGCUGUUUACGUGCAAGGGCAAAGAGGUCAUUUUCACAGUAUCAAACUAUAGUGAAAACGAAACCAACAGAACGGGCUGGACGAAACAAAGAAGUGCGCUUUGGAAUCACCUCAUUUGGAGUUACGGAUAAAAAGUUGUGGAUGUUUUUCUCCCAGGGACCUAUUUGUAAUGAAAAGAUUUUCAAACAGGGGCCUGGAUAGAAAAAGUGAAAGCGUAAUCAUGGAAAUACACUUUCACCUUAUCCACUCGAACAAUGGCGGGGCCGGUCGUGUGCGGGUCCCACCUCUUAUCCACGUGGGCAGGGCGGGGUCAACGCGGGGCCGGCUCCGUCUCACUGACACACGGGUCCUGCCUUAUCCUUCUCUCUCCUCCCUCCUCUUCUUCUUCCUCCCGCCUGGACGCAUCGGGCCGAGCAGGGGAGCUCACCCCGACGAGGCUCGCCGGCGAUCUCGGCCACCAUACGGGGCGCGCGACCUACCGACGAGCUCAGCAGGACGAGACGGAUCCAUUCAGCAUGGACACGGACUCCAAGGAGGAUCGAAGCGACAAGGGUGUGGAUUCUGGUGGAGAUGGCCUCGGGUGGGGUUGGACUACGGUGCCGUGGGGCACUACGGUGAGGGGAAAGGUGUUGGGGCGAGUAGCUGGACUCCGGGAAGGCUACUAGUGGUGGCAGAACGGAGGGAAAGGGCUCAGCUUGCCCAAAUCGAGGAGGGGCAGAGGCGGCGGCCAUGGCGGCAAGGGAGGGCUUAGGAGCUCUUGGAGAUCGAGCGAGUAGAGGGGGAGGUUGCUGGGAGUGAGGCAAGGCUCUAGGUGAGCUCAGACGAGCCCGGGGAUGGCUUAAAUAUCCGCGAGGCGAGGGGGCCGAGCUGGCACCACCGCUGAUGCGUGUACGGAGCCGCAGACGCGUGUGCUCGCGCAUGGGCUCGGGGGAAGGCGAUGGCGACGCACAGGGAGGAGCUCACGGGGUAGAAGAGGUCGAGGGACGCAGGGAGGAAGACGAUGGCGAUGAACGGAUCCAAACCGCCACGAUACGUCCGUGGGCACGCGGCGGUUUGCAUUGGUGACCAAGCAGAUGGAGGAGGAGAGGGGUCCAGGGGAACGACGGCGAUGAGAGGAAGCCAAGGGACAUGCUCAUGAGCGCGAAGACAGCAAGAGGGGGAGGGGGUCUAGCACAAACAGCCACUGGAUGCGGCCACUGCACACAGAGCGCGUGCAUAGGCAUGCCAUUGUCGUGGUUACCACGUGCACUAGCAUCAAGAGGGGCCAAAUGGAUGGCAUAUGUUGUCUAGUGGUAAGUCCUUCGAAGGGUGGUUUCAACUGAGGUGGUAACUUGGUGAAAAAGGGUCUGGUCAGAAGGUUAGUGAGCUCUAAAGUUUACUGCAGUAAACUUUAUCAGCUCAAUGUGAUCAACAGGGAUAUGCUAUGGGCCAAAUAAGUUGUCUGGGGUGUUUAGGCUAGGAAGGACUACAGUCCUGUGGAGUUUGAGGAGAAAUGGACCAAGAAUGAAUAUAGUUGCUUAACAACCACAUAAUCUGGUCAGAAAUGAAGAUCAUGAUGAUGCACUCGCAUGGUUGAUUGGAUUGAGCUGAGUUUGAGCAAGGCAGGGUUAUUUGAUCAUAUGUAGAUGAUGAGAAAGGUUUCAUACCAUUUGGAUAAACCAAAAUGGUACUUCCUUCACAAGCAUCUCCUCUAGAUAGAAACUUGCAAAAGUUCUAGAGGGAUAAUGGCUUAAUUAAAUAUGCCCAAAGUGGGUGGAGAUAUUUUUAAUGGGAAGAAUAAUGAUCUGGUAAUUUAUCAGGAUUUUUGAAGCAAUACAAAAUGCACUUGCUUCACAACCUGAAAAUAUUUCCAGAAUCAAAGAUUUGCUCCUAUGCUCACAUAGAUGAUUGGAUGGGGCUGCAAAUGGGUGGAGGGGGUUAAUAUGAGCACAUUAAGGAGUGUGCAAAAGUUCAUCUCAUUUGGAUACUCCUAGCUAGUACUUCCUUCACAAAGUCUUCUGUCUGACAGAAACUUUGAAAAAAAUCAACGAGGAAGAUUGGCUAGGCAAAUAAAGUUGAACUUGUGCAUGGGUCAAUUAUUUGGACAUAUAAACAUGCCCAAAAAGGUUGGGAGCCACUAGGAAAAAUAUAAAUGACACUUCCUUCACACAGUGCCAUUCAGGGCAGAAUAGAAAAAGGAAUAUUGGGGAAUUAUUUUUGAACAUGGCAAUGAAAAGUUUUGCCAUAUUUGAUCAAGCUAUGACCCAAACAAUUUAUGAGAAUUAUUUGGGAAUUUUUGGAGUGAUGGAAAUAUAGGCUACUUCACAACCUAGGGCAAUUGGAGUUAUUCCUUUAAUAGAAAAGGAAUAUUCCCAAUAAAAAGAAUAUUGGGAUUUUGGCUAGGAUGGAAAUGACAGGGUCUAGGGAAGGAUUUGGGAAUGACAAGCCACUCUGGAAGAAAAGAAGAGGGCAUCUUCUUCAGUUUCCAGACCACAAAGCCAUGAAAAAGAAAAACUCAGGCAAAAACCUCAGAAAAACAAAAGAAAAAGAAAGGGCAAAAAAUCAGGCUAUCACAAACCUUACCCCCUUAAAGAAAUCUUGUCCUCGAGAUUUGGUUGCUCAGGGAACAAGUAUGAAUAUUCUGACUUAAGGAAACCGUUUCCAACUCGGGUAUCCCUUUUCCUUUAUUGUUGUUCCCAUUAAAUUUUUAUCUGACUGGCCCUGGGUAGUUUUAUUUACUGUAUCCACAUUCCAACAGAUCUUACCUUGCUUGUUCAUGCUUAUAUAGGCUCCAAUUUCUUUUUAGAUCUGCUGACUAGAUGAGUGUGAUUUGAUUAUCACGACUGAAAUAUAUGUCCGUCUCACAAAUCCAAAGGUGAUUUCCGCUGGGUGUGCCACCCGACACUGACAACCUUUCAUGUAAUGAUUAUCAGACUUUUCUGAUGAAAACUCAAGCUCUGACUCAUUGCGUUGGGUUUCUCCACUAAAUGCAGGUCCUUUGGGUUCCAAACAGUGAGUUAAAACAUAAUUGUUUCCUGACAGAUUCUGACUCAUCGCAGAAGUUUCUGAAUCAUUUUAACUGGUUCCAUUGUUGUGUGUAUCGGAUUCGUACCAAAUAUUUGAUUGUCUCCUGUUGCGGCGAGCAUAAAGGUUUUGGCCUGUAUGAUAAUAUCUGCAGUCUUGACUGACGGUGGUUUUGAUGGAAAAAUAUAAUUCACGAUAGUCUAUCCAUGAUGAUUCAUAUAAGUGAGGACUCAGGCUUCCAGACUGUUAUUCCUCAUGCCGAUUACUCAUACUGUAGGCAUAUCCAUGUGGAUUAAUAUUGACUUAGACUGUCCGGGGGAUCUGCACCAUGGGGGUCGUCUACAACUUUCAUACCUGCCUCACCGGUCUUGCUCCUUCAUUAUUGUUUUCUUGGUCUGGAUCUUUGGCUGAAAGAGCUGGGCCAUAUUGCUUCUUUGUAUGACCAUAGGUACCGUCGGUGCAAUUUUUCGGCAAUUGUAGUUUAUCCUCAUUUUUCUGAUAUGGUAACCCAUUAAAUGGCAGGUUCAACACCUCUCAAGUUCUGAUUGUUGGGAAAUGAUCAUCCGAAACGCUUGCAAGAAAUCAGCAAAUAAAUCAGUAGCCACAAGAACGGUCUUUGCAACUCAGAUCUGGGACAUUACUGAAAUAACUCAACCACGGCUCAAGACGGCCGAAAAGCAGCUCAGAGCAUGAGACCGGGUUGAUAAGAAGAAGGUGGCAGCUCCCUAAAAUAGCCAAAAAGCAGCUAUAGGGCUACCGUCACAAAAAGAAACUCAACAACUGUACGAGACGGACGAAAAGCAGCUUAGACUCGUGACAGUCGUUGAAGAGAGAAACAAAAAUCGGCAUCCACCCCGGAUAGCUAGAAACAUCUCAGAUCACAGGCGUGGUGCCGUCAAUGGAGAAAAAGGGGACAAGGGCUCAUCAGGAUCAUUUUCCAGAUUCACGGGUACUUGUAUUGAGCUCAUUGAUGUCGUCAAUCCUCAUAAUCCUUUGUCACACUGCGGUGUAUACUGGCUUUCUUCUCUUAAUCAUCCUCACGUGGUUAUCAGAUCCUCAUCCGAUGACUUGUAAGAUCUUGAUGGUAUGCUCAUUGCAUAUAUAUGAGGACCUGAUUCCGAGAUAGACGUGUAUUCUGACUGAUUCUUGAUUCUGACCAAAAUGAUGCGGAUCUGAUUCUUGGGAUUCACUUCCAUAUGCUGUCAAUUCACAGUGUACUACCUUGUACCAAUGCCUUACUGAGGAAUAUUGACUGGCUUGUGCUCGAAACUUUCGUCAGACAGCUUGCUGAAGAAGACUGAAUAUCGUGCUUCAGAAGCUUACCCCCUUAAAGACUUUGCUGGGGAAAGACUCGGUACCGUCUGCCGAAAGAUUUUGCGGUUGCUUACUGAAGAAGGCAGAGUACCUUGCGCGAGAAGUCAUCCAUGUAUCGUACUAAGGAAGAUAGAUGAAUCUUGCCUUGGAAGCUUCUCUAGUAUCUUGCGAGGGAAGAUUGGGUUUCUUACACCAGAAGCUUCUUAUUGUGAUAUGCGGACCGAUUUCCACAUAUACAUAUCAUCUGAAUAUUUCUGAUGUUGAUUUCUUGUAUGAAACAGGGUUUUACUGGAUUAUCCUCCUUUCUGAGUAUAUGCCAUAUUUUUGCUUGCUUCCAGGUACAUCGAGUUCCAAAAUCAUCCUCAAUGAAAAAUUAAAAUUGUAUCCGAGCCAUACCUUUGAUAAUCUUCUGCCAACCUUGCACACAGUUUAUCUUCUUGCUGAUUUAAUCAUUUUGUUGUGUUGAGUGCAUGCUAAUGCAAACUUGAUACUGAUGGUCCAUCCAGGAUUUCUUUUGCAUCCAGACAAGAUAUUCCAAUUUUCAUUGAAGUCUGCUGAUAAUUCCAUUUUGUUUAGCUGAAUUUCCAAAUUUAUGCAUUUCUUGCUGACUCUUCGGGUCCAGUGUCGGUUGACGAGCAACUUUAAUAGGGGAGAAAUUUGUAACACUGAAGGCCCAAAGAAAGGAACAACAGAAACGACUAAAACAAAAGCACACAAGCAUUCUACUAAUAUAAUUAAUCAAGCAAUCAUCACAUAUUGCUGCUACUCACACAAUUAUAUGCAUGCACACCUAAGCACACAAAUCUCGCGGAAACUCCGGUAUUGCGGUCUAAUAUGAUGUGACGAUGUGCACAAGGAUGAGUAAAUGUGUGGAAGAAUUGGUGUAAACAGUGCUACACCAAGUGCUAGCUUAGCCAGGUGGCAACCUGAACUAGCUCGGAGGCGAGGACGCACUUGGUAAUCAUGUUGUGGGACACAAAGGUCGCAACCACAUUAUUAUCGAGCAGACGGAAAAAGAUCCAUACUCGUCCAAGAAAUAGGAUAGCAGAGAAAAACUGAGACUGCUGACAUUUCCCUUUCUUGAUAACUAAGAUCAUUAAGGGUUGCCAACACGAUAAAAUGAAAGAACGAUCCGGGAUAGAAGCAUGUCCAUCACCGAAACGAUAGACGAGACUGAAAGAAAGACAUCAGCGUGAUACCUGAGCACCAUUUUUGCAAACAGUGUCGGGAUCACUAGGCAUCACUCUGCUGGGACAGAAAUGACACCAAACACCGAAACAAAAA